rnacentral:lncRNA from 1 species
AAAAAAAAAAAGUUGUUUCCCUUAAGUCAUGAAAAGAAGAAAUAUUGUUUUUGGUUCCGUUUGAUUUAUCAAUCAAUAUGGCCUGAAUCAAUAUGACCACUGAGAUAAUCAUCCAAAUCCAGAGAUAUGCAUGGUCGUCGCCCUCGUAUUAGAGAGGGUUGUGUGCAUGCUCAUAGGCUUACUUACAGUCCAAUUGACCUCACCAAAGUGAUAGAUUCCUUUCCCAAAAUCUUUUUGUGAAUAUGAAUAACAUAUUUCUUGAUGAUUUUUUUAUAGAUGCAACAGUAAAAAAUCUGUCGGAGGAUCUCUCGCCUACAUUUUAGUUUGCAUAAAAAAUGUGAAGUUUGGUUUACAUUUAAUGUAUACGAUUAUGGAUGUGGAUCUAUCGAUCUGUGUAUGUCAUUUUGAUGAUUCUUGGACGAGUGACGGUGCAACUAGUGGUUCUUGAUGGAUUAAUGGCACAUCCAGUUUAUUGGGUGAAAUCUCAACACCUUCAUCUUUAAACUCCAUAAAUGAUUUGGACAAUGAAAUGUCAACAACAUAAUCACGAUUUAUUUAUAUUUUGUGAAGGUUUUUAUAUGAUGACUUCUGCACCAAAGUUACAUGAAUUAGCCAUGAUUAUUAAGUUUUUAUCUAAAAGUUACAUGAAUUAGCCAUGAUUAUUAAGUUUUUAUCUAAAAGUUACAUGAAUUAGCCAUGAUUAUUAAGCUUUUAUCUAAAAGUUACAUGAAUUAGCCAUGAUUAUUAAGCUUUUAUCUAAAAGUUACAUGAAUUAGCCAGGAUUAUAAGUUUUUAUCUAAAAAUGAGUUAAUUCGUCAAUUACAUAUACAAACAACGUUUAGGCAGAUUUCGUUGCUUCAAUAAUUAAAACGUUUAAAUUCUAUUUCGUUGCUUCAAUAAUUUAAAACGUUUAUUCUCUUUAGUAACUUUAGUUGUGAUGCAUCGAACUUUGUUUGUAUAAUAAAGUUGCAUAUGCUUGUUGACACAAUAUUCUCAGUUUUCUAGCAUUGAUAAGCAUUUGUAGACGAUCAAAGAACCAUGUAGGAUACAAAUUAGUUGUCAAUAAUCUAAAAUACAAGUUAUAAUGACUUUGUACCUUACAAUCUUACACCACUUAUACAUUACAAUUCUGUUGGUCCAAACCACCUAAGAAAGAAAAAAAGAAAAGAUGAAGAUCGUUAUACCAAACAAAAAAAAACCCGCCAAUUUUCUAAAUUAACCCUUUUUAUUAGUAAAGUUUUCUAAAAAUCAACUUUUUUUUUGUCAACAACUAAAACCAAUCUUAGUCAAAUUUUUGAGUUAUCCAAAAGAAGUCGACAUUUUCGUUAGUUCCAAAAUAGCUCAAACUUUAGAGUUAUCUAAUUUUUUUGAUGAUACUACGUAACAAGUUUAACAUUCAAAAAUUACUCUAAUCGAAACAAACUUGAAAGAAAAAAACUGCUGUGGAAAUAAAUAAUACGCGUUAUCUUGAAAAAAAUAGGAAAACUAAACGCGCGAUUUGGUCAAUGUGGUCGUGGAUGGGUCACCUAAUCUUUUUAAUUUCCCUCUAAAAAAAGAAGAAAUAAAUUUUCUCCCAAUUUCCUCGAAGAAGAACAUUAGAAAAUAAAAUGUCAGGAACUGAAAAAAACUACGAAACCAAUCAGAUUCGGCCAUUUCUUUCCCUCUUUUCUUUUUUCUCCCAAUCACUCUUCAGAUUCCGAAAAAAAAAGCAAACAAAGAAAGAAAAAAUAGAUUCUUUAUCACCGGAGUUUUCACCGGACUCUUAAAAGAUGAAUACGCCGAACUGGGAACUCCGGAGUUGCUGUAACCGAAACCAGAACACGUUCCUCAUCACCAUCGGAAUCUUCACCGUCGUUAUCCUUGUGGUUAGUUUUUCCCAUCUAAUGUCCUUGAGAGAAAGAGUUUAAAGUUUUGACCUUUACUUGUUUUCUUCGAUUCAAAUUGAAGAUCCGACAAAUUUUUUUGUAAAAGUUAGUUUAAAGGGUAUCUCGAUUGUAGUGUUUUAUGCAACUGUUGACUUAUAAUUUCAUUCAAAGUUUGUGACUUUUGGCAUCAUAAAGUUUCUAUAUUUGUUCUUGUUUCUUAAGAUCUUCACAGAGAUUUCUUGGUUUUGUUUUUAACAGCUAUGGAGGACAUUUCUAUUGACUCCAUUUAAACUAAUCACGGUGUUUUUGCACGAAGCGAGUCAUGCUGUUGCUUGCAAGCUCACAUGUGGAGAUGUAAGGAAGCUCUCUCACUUCAACUACUACUUCAAUGAAACUAAAAAAGGUUACAAAACUGAUUUUAGGUGUAAACCCUUAAUUCAGUUUGUAAACUUGAAUUGUCCUUUUGAUUUGUUAAAUUAUACUGGUUGAUUUGUGAUCCACUUUGCGAGCAUAACAUCUCUUUAGAUAUGCACAUUUACCAGUCGAAAGGUUUGCUUUAGCAUUGAUGUCUCUGCAUUUUCUCUGGACAUGACUGUUUAGCAUAGAGUGGAUUUUAGCAUCUUGAUUCAGUUUGCAAACAUAAACCGUCUGCUUCGAUAUGGAAAAAUACACUUGGAACUCAGACUAAUUUUAGGUUCCUUGAAAGUUUAAAUGCGGUCGGGGUUCGCUUUGAAUAGGCAGAGAAGAUGUUUUUGUUAUCAUCCACUACUCGCAUGGCUUUCUUUAGCAACAAUACCUUGUGUAGAUUGCUUUAGCAAUGUUUGUCUUUGGAUAUGGCUGUUUAGCACGAUCGUAAAGUUGGCAUCUUGAUGUCGAGUUACGAUAUCCUUAUUUAUUGUGCCAUUCGCUAUAUUCCUCAUUUGGUAAACAUUGUUUUAUCCUCACUUGUAUAUGAUUCUCGCUCUAUUGCUAAUAUGUAAACUACUAAUAUACGAAUAUACGUCAUUAGUCUAAGAAGCCAAGACACACAGUUAGCUCAAACCUUAGCUUUAGGUCGACCGUAGCGUAGGACUAAAUGUUAACAGAUUAUAGCUGGCUGCUGGUCUGAGUUUGUGAGAAAGCAGUUAGUGAAAGCGAAAUCUGUAAAGAUGUCUCUGCAGAUUGUUAAGGCUGUAGAAUUUAUAGAAUUUGAUUGGGAUUCCGGAUGAAAGCCUUUUCAUUAAUAAGUUUCUCUAGUUGGUGAGUGUUAUAAGAAUAGCAGUGUACAGCUUAGCUCUUAUCAUAGUUCCAAUAAUGCAGAAAAGAUAGUAGAUAAGUUACACCGCUCAGCCCAAAAAAAAUCUUUGAUUAUGUAUUGAUUGCACAUUAUUUUCAUCAAAUGCGUGCAACAUUCUCUAUGUUAAUCUGCAACUUCAUUUUUUCAGUUUGCACUUUGCACAGUCGCAUAUAAUAUGGAUAUUGUGUGCCUAAAAACAAAUGUGGCUAAUUUUUGUUUGAACUUAAUCUUCUUCGUAUUGAAUCAAAAAGGUGGAGGGGAUGGAGGUGAAUGCAAAUGAAGGAGGUUCCACAACAACACGUGGCGGCAUCUAUUGGCUGAUCUUACCUGCUGGCUGUAAUAUACAAUCUGUCUAUCUCCCUUAAACAAAUCAACCAUUUUCAAAUUUGGACCUUCCAUUGUUGAUGGCUAAAAGUGUUACAUAUAUAUUUGUUGUAAUGGUUAUAGAUCUUGGCUCAUCAUUUUGGGGAAUGGCUUUGAUUCUUGCAUCUACUAAUCUGCUUACAGCAAGAAUAGCUGCUGCUGGUCUCGGUCUUGCUUUAUUCAUCGUCCUCUUCAUUGCCAAAAACGUAAGUAGAAUUCAUUUUUAUCUCAUUGAGGCAUUGACAUCAAACCAAUGACAUCCAAAUUUUCAACCUUGACAGUGGACGCUUCGAGGUCUUUGUAUAGGUGUGCUAUCUCACGGUUCUUCUUGUUAAAUUUUUCAUUUUUUAGUUCUCAAAAUGAUAGUUGACAAAAAGAUUCUAACAAUCAGUGAAAAAGUCUCUCAGGUUUCAUAGUUUUCCUCGCUAUCAUAUGGGUUCUACAAGAGUUAACUACAGUAAAAAUUCUCCGUUAUGUCAUUCUGUUCAUCGGUAAAUGAACCUCAUUUUGUUCAGUCUUGUUAACAUGUUUGAGUUUCAUCUUCUCCGUAUGAAAGCCAGAUUCUUGAUAUUGCAGGUGUGAUGAAUAGCUUAUUCUCAGUUUACGGUAUGUGUUUCCUUUUCUCUCCCAAUAACUUCACUUAAAGUUAUGAACUUAUGAACAAGAAAGAAGCCUCAUUUGGUUUUGUUCUGCAAUGGCUAUUAGAUAUCUACGAUGAUCUGAUAUCGCGAAGAGUCCAUUCAAGUGAUGCUGAGAAGUUUGCAGAGAUCUGUCCUUGCUGUACUGGUUGUGGCUGGGGUGUCAUAUGGUGAGACUUUAAUCCAAUUUUACACACAAAAAACAACAAAUCUUUGUUUUUUCUUUGUUUCUGACCAAAAAUGGUUUUGAUUUUUCAGGGGAAUGAUAUCUUUUGCGUUUCUUUGCGCAUCAUUGUAUCUUGGGCUAGUGAUCCUAUCAUAAAAAGGUGUUCUUUUGGUUUUGGCUUUCUUGUUUUUUGUUAAGCACAUUUUUGCUUUUGAAUUUUGAUUAAGCGUUUUCAUGAUUUUUGUGAAUUUUUGGUGUCUCUCAGGUUUCAAAUUCUUUCCAGUGAACUGCGGAGUCUCCUUUCUUUCAUCUAUGCGCAGUUUUUUAACAGAAAACAUUUUUUUGAUUAAAAAGCUUGAUUCUUUAGAUCCCUUUGAUGUAUUUACAUUUGAUUGAAAGUUUAGGGUUUAUCAUUUUUUUUUUAUUCAUUUUGGAGUUUGUGUUGAAUAGAAUUCAUUGAUUGUUCUGUUUUAAUGCAUUGUAAGUCCGUUGAUCUUGUCAUCAAAACAAAACUCCGUCGACUUAUUCCUGUAAAUGGUCAUAGUAUCCUCGAUUAGACUUCGUCCUUUCUUCCAAAUUGAUACUUAAACACCAAAAUCUAUUAUAUAAAGACUCAGCUGAGUCUCACAAACUUGACACAUCAGCUUUCGAAAAAAAUAAUUUUCUCAAUUCCAAAAAAAUCUAAUUUAUCAGCCAUGACACAAGUACAAAUCUAGUUUCUAUCUAGAAAAGUCAUUCUCUUACAAUAAAAAGGAAAUGCAUUGAAUUUAUAGUGUUAUUACUUUGUAAACGACACCCGAGAAAAUUGAACGAGGCUAAAAUAAAUUCAUUUUUAUAAAAUGGAGCGGCAUUCCACCUAUUUUUCAUUUUUCUCUUACGCGCUUAAAAAGCUCCAGAAAUCAGGUAUAGCGCAACUGCAGUCACGUUCAUAACCAACAUUAGAAAAGAAUUAAGGUCUUGAAAUAACAUAUCCAAAAUGCAUAUUUCUUGUGUUAAUUUUGUUUUAGUGAUUGUGGUUUUUAGUGUUUCAGAUCAGAAAGGCGAUCAAAUACAUGGAUAUAAUCACUCUACUCUACGUGUCUACGAGGAGGAAAUGAUAACCAAUCCUUCUCUCAUAGAAAGAGAGCUAGGAUCAAGCUGUAUGUAGUGUAAUUACACACUAUAUAUAUAUAUAUAUAUAUUCAUUCCUAUUUUAUGUAUAUAUAUAAGAAAAACUUUAUGUGCCAUUAAAAAAAUUAUUUCUUGUUUCCAUAUUAAUUUAGAGUUUUAUAUGAUGUUUUUUGUUGUUCGCAAAACAUUGAAAAAACCAUAAAUAGUUUGUUUAUUGCAUGCAUGAAAAAUUAUGAUAUCUUUGUAUGCGUAAUGCUCUGGUGCCUAACAAUAUUAUUAGGUUUAGAGCAGAUGAUAUAACAAACGAAGUUGAAGUUUUAGAGGCAUUUUGUCUUCUGUUCAAUUUCUGUUUAUAGUUUUCGUACAUCUUAUAUAUAUACAUAAAACUGACAUAUAGUGAAUGCUUAACUCAAUCUAAAAUCAGUUAUAAAAUUUUCUUACGUAGCGCCUUAUUUCUCUGUCACAUAGACAAAAUUCUUUGUGUAUCAGGAGAAUGUAAUGCCCAAAUUUUAUCAUAUUUACUUUAUUGACGUCCGAACUUUAUAUUUUUAUAACAAAAAAUGAAUAUUUAGAAAGAAAUUAUUGUUUUUAAUAUUUAUUACCCUAAGCAGAACUCAAAGGAUUUGAGAUGAGAUUUAAAGCUAAGCUGAAACAAACAAACGCAAUAUUUUGUAUUUUAUUGUGUGUCUUUGAGUGUACGUAUUUUGUUAAUUUUAUUUCAUUAGUAAAAAAAACAGAAAAUAUAUAAUAAACAGACAGAUAUAUGUCUUAUUUUAAAGAGAUAACAAUAGAAAGUGAUUUGCGAUUACGUAAUUCUAUCAUGAUCUAGAAAAUUUAAAUUCGCACAUAUAUAUGUAUAUAUAUUAUUGAUCAACUUAACUAUUAUAUAUAUAUAAAUUACCGCGUGUACACGCGAAGUUUUAUCUAGUUAUUGUAAUAGUUGUGUACAAAAUAUCAUGGUGUAGAAAAUAAUUGUUGUAGUUAAAAAUUCAAUAAAAAAAAUAAUCAAAUUCUAUUAUAUGGAGGAAAAAUUUCAUAUUUUGUACUCUUAUUAAAUUUCAUAAUAUUUAAAAGUAAAUUUCCAUUUUUCUUCAAAAUUACAGCGAAUAAAUCCUAACUUUUUUUGUUUGAUAGAUAAGCAAUCUUUUUUGUCUGAUGGUAUAAAGAGGUAUAUCGUUUGGAAUCUUCCGAGGUUCAUCUUGCAUUAUCUUGGUUCAUCUUCCAAUAUAUCUAUUGGUUUGUAGAUUAGGUUGAAGAAAAUGAGAAAAAUUUGUAGUAAAACCUUUCUUUGAAUAUUUCUGUUAUAACGAAUGCGAAAAAAUGAAGUUAUAAACAUAAGGAACACAACACAGAUUUAACGUGGUUUACCAACGAUGUGUUGGUUACUUCCACGAACAAAAAAACCUAUUUAUUAAGGGAGGCAAAAGGUUCAGAAAACUCUGAUGAAGGUUCUGAAUCAUAAUCGGAAUACAUCAGAAUCGGAAUACAUCAGAAUUAGGUAUCACAUAGGUAUUAUAACUACCUAGUUAACCCUAAUCAUUUUUGGACCUGUCGUUCACGCCUAUGUAACGUCCUUAAGCUGAUAGCUUCGACCCAUUACUCAAACCGACAAUCUGCAGUAAGCUUCGUAGCUUACACCUCAUCUGAAAACAACUCCGCAGCUUACACAAUCUGUAACCAACAUCUUCUACAGUUUGCUAUGUAGCUUGCACCUUCCAGAGGUCACACUUUCCGCAAGUCGCACCUUAUGGAAGUCGCACCUUACGCAAGUCGCACCUUACGCAAGUCGCACCUUACGCAAGUCGUACCUUCUGCAGGUACCUUCUGCAAGUUGCACAAUCUACAUUAUGCUCUGUAGGUCCGCACCUUCUGCAACUUGCACCUCUCACAGUCUCAGAUUUAAGGCACAUUAACAAAUCUCCACCUUGUCUUGAAUCGUCCAAACAGAUGUACCAGAUGCACUUUUACAGUGCCAGAUGUACCGAAUUUUUCAUUUGCCUCACACGUUUGAUAACACCUAAUUUUGACAUAUUUUCACCAUUGAUUUCAAAUGCUUUUUCAAAGGUUUUAAUCAGUUUUAGGAAUUUUUAUUAUGAUUUCCAUGUAUUUAUAGUUUCAAGACUUUUUUCAGGAAACUUAGGGAAAAUGAUGGCAAAAUGGAAGAAAUCCACUUUUUAAAGCUCAGAGUCAGACCGUCAGAAGUUCAGCCUCAAAUGAAGACUUUUUCAACGUCUGAUCUAGUUCAAAUUUGGAGACAAUCAAGAGGAGACAACCAGAUUUCCAUAGCACUUUACAUCACAAAGAUUCAAUUGUGCAAUCAAAAGAUACAUGGAGAACAAGCUGACCCAGUUUACCAGUCCUGGAAGACUCUCACCCGCGGCAAAAUCAUGUUUUACCUGCCCUGGAAGACUCUCACCCCCGGUGUACCUUAGGACGAGCCACAAGGCCCAACAUCAAAGCCCACUUCGCCAUUCCUCUUUAGAGAAGCCCUAAAUGAGACCUGGAAAAACUUAGGACCUAUAAAUACAUUGUUUAGCGGCUCCAAACAGGUGUGUGCUCCUGUAAUGAGAUUUUGAGCCACCAAAAUCUGUUUCUCUAGGGUUAGGCGAUGGAGAUGGGGAUUCUUCCCCAGAUCCAUUGUUCUUUCUCCUUUCAAUUCUACUAACUUUUCUGUUUCACUCUUUUGCAUUUUUCUAUGUCUUUUAUUAUUCCUUGCAUCAUGUAGAUCUGUCCCAGAGAGUCAAGUUGUUUUAAGAGUCAUCGAUGAUCAUAUAUAUCGAUUAGGAUUUCUAUAGUUCUAAACCAUAUUCUGGAUCUCAUCUCUUCUAAGUUGUUCAUAUUGCAUGAGAGUAGAUUCAUGACCUAUUUUCUGAGCCUAGGAUCGAUCAGAGCCAUGAGAGUGUUGUAUCAGAUCAUCCAUACCUAGCUUCAGAAGAACAUAGUCGCUAUAGGAGUCGAAAGCUACCCAUAGAGAAGAUGUGAGCAGACGAAUUCAAUGUCUAAUGCAUGAUCUUAUUUCUGUCAUGAGAGCGAGAGUUAAUUGUCAUAUCUAAGUGAUUAGUUGAUUAAGAUGACGAGAAUUAGUUAAUCAUACAUAUGUCUAUUGUAGUUCCAUGCAGAUUCCUAGAAACAGAUGAAGAUAAAUCGCCCGGAAGCUAAUUGUAAAUGCCACCAUACAUCGAUUAUAGUAAAUCGGAGAAGUCUAAAUUGCACCCUAUGAGUUUAAGAGUAUUUAGUUUGAGUCGAUAUGCUUGAGAUAUGCUUGAGAUAUUCUUUUAACAAUUCAUCAUGCAUUGCAUUUUAUCUCUUGUGAAUAUUAGAUUAGGUUUAGUUUAGGACUUUUAACUAAAAACCCCAAAACGUUUAUUGGUUUAUGAUUUUGCUUACUUCCCAGUUUGUUGUUUCUUGCAGAUUAGACAUUCUCCCUAUGGAUCGACACCCUAAGUUCUACAAUCUGUGCACUUUCAGAUUUUAGGGUUUUAUAAAUUUAAAACUUUCUUUAUGGACCAAUGAGCUUGUAUGAAAAACAACCCUAGGCCCGUAGCUCAUCAAAGUUUUUGGCGGCGUUGCCAGGGAGGUUCUUAGUCGCUGGAGGUCUAAACCUAGGAGGUUGAAGCCACAAAAGACAAUAUAUAUGUCGAGUUUCUGCCAAAAAAUCAUAGGAAGUAAACCAAACUCAUAAACACCCUAACUUUUUUUUUUUCUGCUUAUUCUCUCUUCUGUUUGCCCUAGUUUCAGAAAUCUUUGAAGCAUGGAUCAUCCAAGAAGAAAUCCUAACCCUGAUCGAAGGUUUUGCAACUUGUGUGAAGCUCCCUACGCAUGUGAAUCACCUUCCAGGCGUGAUUCCAAUCAUCCAGUUCGGCCAGAUCAUCCGAACCACCACCAUGGAAACUCGCGACCUCUACACCAUCGAGAUGAGCCCUUCACCUGGUGAAUCGUCGACCAUCUCAUCCUCUUUCUCAUCAGAUUAUGCACCAGAACUAUGAGGAUAAUCUGUUUAAAAUCCUGCUAAAUCGAUUGGAAGCCAAGCUGAAUCAGUUCCUUGCCUCCCAAGCCAUCAUCGAUGCUGCCCUGCGAACAAGGAUAGAUGACAUGACCGUCGACCUUAACAAAAGGUUUGAUGACCUCUCUGAGCAUGUGAAGAUACUGGAGAUCAGAUAAUCAAAGAUAAUGACGUGUCGAACCAGAGAAUGGAGUCUGUCGAAGAAGAGCAGGACAAAAACAAGUUCAACAUUCGACAAAAUGAAAGGGAGCUGCAAACCCUAACUUUCAAGAUCGAUGACUUGGAUAAGGAACUGAAUGAGAGCAAAAACCAGACCUACGACUACACAUUGGAGCUGUGGCAGGGCGUAGCUAAGGUUGAAAACAAGACAGAAGAGCUUGAUGCUACUCUAGACAAAGUUGUCUAUGCUGUAGAUGAAGUAGAAGAGAAAGUUGAAAAACUUUCUAAAGAUCAUAAGGAGUAUGAUCUGAACUCUAGAAUCAAUGAUUUGGAUACCCAAGACGUGCCUAACAACCACUGGAAGCAAGAGAACAAUAAUGGAGAAGAAGAGAUUUAAGAAGAAAGCAUAGAGAGCCGGAGGAAGCUGACCGCGGCUGCGAGUACUUCACCCGCGGCCAGAGCCACUUCCACCGCGACUCCAAGCUCCUCACCCGCGGUAGAGCAUGAUUUCUCAGAUUAGGAGAACUUCCAACCUCUUUCUGAAACCUGUUCAACUGCAGACCAACCCCUUGUGACCAGAUCUAGGUUGUUUGAUCAAGUUGUCUUCUCAAUCACUGCACAAGCAUCAAAAGAAAAGGAAGAAUCCAACACUUAUGAAUCUUGCAACAUAGUUUACACUUGUGACAAUGAGCUUCAAGAGCAAUUCUCAGAAGAUGAAGAGUAUGGUUUGUUUGUUGAAGAUCCAAACUAUGGGGACAAUUCAUCUAAUGACAACUCAGAACCAAUUACCAAGAGCAUAUCCAGAGAGAGACUGAUUGAAUUCAACAAUUUUGUGAAGUCCAUUCCUCUCUACCAUGGUUUCGACGACAUCUGGAAGCAAGGCUGCCUUCAAGUUUUUUUUUCAGAUAUAGCAAGAAGACUAAGGAGAACGUCUACACUUAUUUCAGAAGAGCCAGGUAUCUAUCUUUUCCUAGAUCAUCACCUGAUGCAGCUGUUUACAUGAUCCAUCUCAAAGAUCCCCACGAAGCCAUUGACUACACAAACAAGAUCAACAAAGAAGCACUUGAAGAGUCAAUCAAGUAGUUCAAAGCCUCCUAGAAGGAAUUUCAUUUGCCAAAGCAUGUAGAGACUACAUGAUCGGCCACUUCUUCUAUGACAGCAAAGAUUCUAUUCAAGAGAUGAAAGACUUGUUCACACACGCCCAAGAAGGUAGACCAUUUCGAAAUCUGCACAAAGUUCAAGACAAAGGUCAAUUUCUUAUAUCUUGUGAUAUUAGAGGUGAAAGAUUUCUCAAUAUUCUUUGUGAUUCUGGAGCUUGCAUUAACAUGAUGUCCAAAGCAACUGCUUUGAGACUUGGCAUUAAGCACAUUUCAAAUACCAUGACAAAGAUUAGCUUAGCAGAUGGUUCAAGUGCAACACCAAGAGGGAUAUCCCGAGAUAUUCCUCUAAGGAUUGGAGAUUGCAUUGCACCUGUCGAUCUAUACAUAGUGAAGACCAAAGAUGACUCUUAUCCACUUAUCCUUGGAUGGUCUUUCUUAGCAACUGCUGGAGCCAUCAUGGAUUGGCCCAACAGGAGAUUUUAUUUUGCAAAUAUCGACAAGGAUAUCUUCUAUCAAGCUACACCACUUAAGAGCAAAGGAGAAAAGCAGAAAGCCUAGGCCUUUGAACCAGAAGAAAUCUGGAGUGAUGAAGAACCUGCAAGACAGAAGAGAAGGAUUUCGAAAAGGACUUGUCUUAGGACAAGAUCCUAUUUGAGCUAAGUCUUUUUCUUUUGCAAGUGUAGCUAAGGACUAUAAACCAAAGCGCUUGAUGGGAGGCAACCCAUUUAGCUACUUAUUUGCUUCUGUUUAUCUUUCUUUUUCUAUUAAAGUUUUGGUUUUUUUAUUUUAGACAGGCCUUAGUAUGCCACAAAAAAAGGAAGAAAAAGAAGAAAGAGAGCUGACCGCAGCCAAAGGAGGUUCAACCGCAGCCAGCAAGCAUUUUGCCGUGGCCACGAAGCUUUGAACCGCGGCCAGCACCACUCGGCCACCCUUGGCCAUUUCCACCUCUACCUUGAUUCAAAUCCAUCCAAGUUGGAUCAAGCACCACUUCACAUCAUCCACCAUCCACCAUUCAAUAUCCUACCACCUCCACAACCACCUCAUAAUCCAUCACCACACCAGGUAAGUUUUCUUUUCCUUAAUCUUUUUAAAUUUUUUCACAUACUCUAUUUCUCAUCCUUGCCUGAUUUAUUUCAUACUGGGGACAGUGUGAUUUAAGUAUGGGGGAGGAUUUCAUCCCUUUCUAACCACUUUUUCUUGCAUGAGCCUUUGCAUUCUGCAUUUUUCUUUAAAAUUUUUCAAUUUUUUUUUCGAUUUUUCACAAAACUUUUCAAAAUUCUUUUGAGUUUCAAAAAGUGUUUUCAAAGGUCAAAUACAUUUUAAGGGAAUAAUGACAAAAUCGAUGAUGAUAACCAACCUGUUUGCUUCUACACCAAUGAUUCAUAAAAAGCUCUUUCAAGGUUUAGUAUUAGACUUGGCGGUAGCUGGAGUACUUACACUACGAAAUCCUACCAGAAGACUUCUAUUCAUGAAGAUAUUUUCUAACAGGAUAUUCUAGCUCAUCUUACUUGGACUUAAUCUUGACAUCUAAUUUUCUCAUCAAUGGUUUUAAGAAGGCAUCAUGAUAUACAUCUAGGACAUCUUUAUCUUAUUGUUACCACUCUUUGUUGUCCUAGAUGGCCAGUUCAUCUUUAGCUGGUACCUCACCUUUAACCCAAACCUUUAUGUUCUAACCUCAUGCAUUCUCUCUUAAGUAUAUAUUGACAGAUAUGUGCAAAAACGCCGUAGAGGGAGGAACAACAUAGUUUUCAGUCAUUCAUGAGAAAAACUGAAAAAGACCAGAAGGGAGUGUGCCAGAAAUCUUAUGAUUCCUCAGAAAAGCUCAUUCUUAUAAGUAAAUUUCAUGCUUUUUAAGAUUAAGUCAAAAGGCAGUUUCCCCUUUCCCAAAAAAAAAACAAAAAAAAAAAGAAGGAAAGGAAAGAAAACCAAAAGCCUAAAGAGUCUUAGAAGCCGAAAUCAUUUGAGCCAAGGCAAUAGGUAUCCACCUAAGGAGUUAUGGAUUCACAACCUAGACAAAAAAUCCAAGUCUGGGGGAACUAUAAGGAGAACCUGAAGAAAGGAGAUCAGAAAUCUUAAAGCAAAGAGAAUGUGACUGAAACAGUGGGGGCAUUUACAGUUCCAUCCUCUCUUGCUGUUUUGCAUAAUGUCUUGUCUCUCCAGAAAAAGGUAACCCUAAACACAUCAAACCUUACCAUUAAAAAGCCUUUUUGAUACCUAACCUUGAAUGCCUUGUUUGAUAUCCUUUUGAUGAGAAUCACUGAAACCUUUAAUAAAUGUUAAGAGCUAGGUGACUGGAAGUUAGUUCUAAGUGUGUGGAUUUUUGCAUGACGGAUUAACAGACUAGUUAUGUUUGUAUUUUGGUGAGAAUUUUCUAGACUUGAUCUGAUUGACGCAUUGUCCAUAAUUAAGGUCUAGAAGUAUGGUUGCUGAUAUUUUUGAGUUCCCUCUCACUUUUGUUGAAUGAUAUUUUUCCAGAUUUGAUCUUGUUUUGUUUGAGGACAAACAAAGUCUUAAGUCAAGGGGGGGGGGGGUUGAUACCACACCUGAUUUUGACCCAUUUUCACCAUUGAUUUCAAUGCUUUUUCAAAGAUUUUAAUCAUUUUUAGUAAUUUUUAUUAUGAUUUCCAUGUAUCUGUAGUUUAAAGGUUCUUUUCAGGAAACUUACGGAAAAUGAUGGAAAAAUGGAAGAAAUCUACUUUUUUAAGCUCAGAGUCAGACCGUCAGAAGUUCAGCCUCAAAUGAAGACUUUUUCAACGUCUGAUCUAGUUCAAAUUUGGAGACAAUCAAGAGGAGACAACCAGAUUUCCAUAGCACUUUACAUCACAAAGAUUCAAUUGUGCAAUCAAAAGAUACAUGGAGAACAAGCUGACCCAGUUUACCGGUCCUGGAAGACUCUCACCCGCGGCAAAAUCAUGUUUUACCUGCCCUGGAAGACUCUCACCCCCGGUGUACCUUAGGACGAGCCACAAGGCCCAACAUCAAAGCCCACUUCGCCAUUCCUCUUCAGAGAAGCCCUAAAUGAGAUCUGGAAGACCUUAGGACCUAUAAAUACAUUGUUUAGCAGCCCCAAACAAGUGUGUGCUCCUGUAAUGAGAUUUUGAGCCACCAAGCUAUGUGUUAGGCGAUGGAGAUGGGGAUUCUUCCCCAGAUCCAUUGUUCUUUCUCCUUUCUAUUCUACUAACUUUUCUGUUUCAUUCUUUUGCUUUUUUCUAUGUCUUUUAUUAUUCCUUGCAUCAUGUAGAUCUGUCCCAGAUAGUCAAGUUGUUUUAAGAGUCAUCGAUGAGCAUAUAUAUCGAUUAGGAUUUCUAUAGUUCUAAACCAUAUUCUGUAUCUCAUCUCUUCUAAGUUGUUCAUAUUUCAUGAGAGUAGAUUCAUGACCUAUUUUCUGAGCUUAGGAUCGAUCAGAGCCACGAGAGUGUUGUAUCAGAUCAUCCAUACCUAGCUUCAGAAGAACAUAGUCGCUAUAGGAGUCGAAAGCUACCUAUAUAGAAGAUGAGAGCAGACGAAUUCAAUGUCUAAUGCAUGAUCUUAUUUCUGUCAUGAGAGCGAGAGUUAAUUGUCAGAUCUAAGUGAUUAGUUGAUUAAGAUGGCGAGAAUUGGUUAAUCAUACAUAUGUCUAUUCUAGUUUCAUGCAGAUUCCCAGAAAAAGAUGAAGAUAAAUCGCCCGGAAGCUAAUUGGAAAUGCCACCAUACAUCGAUUAGAGUAAACCGGAGAAGUCUAAAUCGCACCCUAUGAGUUUAAGAGUCUUUAGUUUGAGUCGAUAUGCUUGAGAUAUUCUUUUAACAAUUCAUCCUGCAUUGCAUUUUAUCUCUUGUGAAUAUUAAAUUAGGUUUAGUUUAGGACUUUUAACCAAAAACCCCAACACGUUUAUUGGUUUAUGACUUUGCUUACGUUCCAGUUUGUUGUUUCUUGCAGAUUAGACAUCCUCUCUGUGGAUCGACACCCUAAGUUCUACAAUGUACAUCUGUGCACUUUCAGAUUUUAGGGUUUUAUACAUUUAAAUCUUCCUUUAUGGACCAAUGGGCUUGGAUGAAAAACAACCCUAGGCCUGUAGCUCAUCAACGUUCCAAAAUGCACUUUACCGUGCCGGAUGUACCAGACGUCCCUUGUAUCAGAUGUACCUGAUGCACGCUUGCCAGAUGUACCAGAAUUCCCUUCUAUCAGAUGUACUAAACGCACCAAUAUUAUGCCAGAUGUACCAGAUGCACUCUUACUGUGCUAGAUCUACUUGGUGUUAAGUAGAACAGGUGUCUCUACAGACCAGACGUCCCUUUGGACCAGAUGUUCCGUCGGACCAGACUCCACUGCGGACUAGAUGUUAUUUCAGACCAUACGCCUCUUCGGAUCGGACAUUGUUUCGGAAUAGACGUCCUUUCAGACCAGACGCCUUUUACCAGGCUCAUAUACUCCUCCAGAGCCAGAUGCCUUUCACUGGGCUCAGAUGCUCCUUCGAGCCAAACAACCCUCACCGGGUUCAGACGUUCCUUCAAGCCAAACGUCCCUUCGGACCUGUAGUGUAUGAUCCACCAUAUCUUCGAAGCCAUAUAUCUCUGUGGAUCCAACCUCAUUCCUUGUAAGCUGAUCAUGACAUGUACUACGGUGAAUAUUCUCAGAUGGUGUCAGUUCUGACAGAUCAAUUUCUGUCUGUAGCUCUUGAAUCUCUUCGUGUAGCUCAGAAUCAGUCUCGUCACGAUAUAUAUACAAAUCCACCUGCAUCUGUAACUCCACCUGCUUGUCAAAGCUACUGUUCUCUGUAGCAGCUGUGGUUAAAGGUUCAUCUUGGAACCUUCUUUCUGAAUCAACAUUAGAGAACAUGCACUUCGUUCUCCGCAGCAGCAUCUGAUUCAUCUGCUCAGAUACACCAUUCGGUUGUGAUGUAUCCGUAACUGCAUGAUGUUGGACAACUCCUUCAUCCUUGCAUAGCUGAUUGAGCUCUAAUGAACAGAAUUUCUCACCUUCCUCUGACAGAAUUUGCACCUUCUUUUCACCUAUACGACCAAAGCUCUUAUGCCACAGCUUUGUUAUAUCUUUGUGGUGAAUUUCUGAAGAUGCAACAUUCACAGAACCUGUAGCUGUGGAACCUCCACCCAUACCCUUGUGCCCUCCUCUGCUGCAGGUGAAAUCACCUUCAUCAUCCUCAUUUUCAUUCAAUGGAGCCGCAAAUCUCUAUGACAGAUAACAUCUUCAACUUUCUUUUUCAAUUUUAUCGAAAAAUGUGAGAUUAGACGCAUAUAGAAUGGGAACCAUCUCUAUAAAAACAAUAGAUUUUUUUUAUGAAGAGAUAUCUGAUGUCCAAUAUAAUUUGUUGUUAUAAUUUGUAUCUAGUUUUUUUGUUAUCAAAAUGAAUGUUCAGAUGAGAAUAUUGUAAAUUAAUUCUUAUCAUGAUAUUUUGAAUAGCAUAUGAUUUUGAUUAAUAUUAAUUAAAAUCAUUAAAUUGAAACUAUAUAAUAUUGAUAAGAACUUUAAAAUUAAUUAUCUAAUGAUACAUAAUUUUAGUUAAAUUUUAAAAUCACUUAAAAUGCAUAAACUAACAGUACCCAACUCAAUAUAUCUUGGUGAAAAGGUUCUUAUGUAAAAGUCUAAUUAUAUAAAAAUUAUAGUAAGGAAAAAGAAUGUGCGUUCUUUCAAAAAAAAAAAAAAAAAAAAAAAAGAAGAAUGUGCAGUGAGCAAUCAUAUAUUCCCUUUAAAUAGUCUCAGUACUGUCAUUUUGAGUUUACCCUCUGUCUCCCCUAUUUUUUAUAUUUACAGUUUUUUAAUAUUAGGUUUUUACUAAAAUAAAAAUUUCACAUCGUGAUUUAUCAGAUGGAUCCUAUCCAUUUCUCAAUUUAAUAAAUAAUAUUUCUUAAAACUUUUCUUGUCUUACUAUAUUCUCAGCAUUUUGUAACACUAAAUAUUUAAAAUGCAAUAUUUAUAUCUUUUUGGACUUUACAUUGAUAUAUAUAAACUUUCGAAUAUUAUUAUGUUAGAUACACAAUUUCUAACCAGAGAGGAAUUUACAUAGUAAAUAAAAUGAUAUUUAUCAUAUUUUUGUAAUUCUAUUAGAAUUAUCUACAUUUUUAUAUGUGUAAAGCUCAUAUAAUUGGUUUUGCAUUCUUAAUGAAAGUUUGUUAAUAGAACUAAUAUAAUUAUAUCAUGGAAGAAAAACUAAUAGAAUUUAUUUUUAAAAAAUGAUAUCAAUCUAUCAAUUUUAUUGGGCACUAAAACAUUUAGGGUCCUGCCAUUGACCAAUACUGUCUACCUCCCAUAUAUCUACCAUUAAGCCAAUACAAUUAUUUAAACACUUUUGUAGAGAAUUUUUUUCUACAUUUGAUAUUUAUAGAAAGACCUAAAAAGAAAUAAAAUCUAUACUUUAUCAAUAAUAUAAUUCUGAAAGGUCGUUUUGAGAUAUAUGUGAUAUAAUAUUAUAAUAUUUAAUUUAUAUAUGAUAUCUAAACUUUACCAAAUACUAAAGUUUUAUAUUUUGAUUAGUCUACAUUGAGAUUACAUAUUGUUUCAUUAAAAUAUUUUAUUUUUAUUUUAUGCUAAAUUUAUAAUCAAUAUUAGAGCAUUUAUUACUUGGUCAUAGGUUUUACUAGAGUUGAAUUUCAUAAAAUAUUAAAUUUGGUCAAAUUAAAAACAUUUGACUCAUUUAGAAUAUGUAAAGAGUAGCGAGCCAAAAGAAGUUGAACUUCUCAAAUAUAAAUUAAAUUUUCAAGCGCAAAGCUCAUGGUACAAUCAAGAAUCUGAAUAACUUUUGAAUGGCCACAUUAUUGUAUAUGAAUUACAUACAUGUAUAUGUAUGAUAGAAUAUAUAUAUAUAUAUAUGUUUUCUUGGUAGUGAAUGAGAGGAGGAAAAAAAAUAAGAGGAGAAACAAUGAGAAAAAGAAAAGUUCAUAAAAACAAAAAUCACAAAAUCAUAAAGUUUUUUCAUUCUUAUUGUUCUGCUCUUAUAUUUUUUUCCUGUCUCUCAUUCACCACCAAAAAAACACAUAUAUAUAUAUAUAUAUUUAUGUAUUUUUGUGUAGCAUUUGACCAUGCCAAUCCGAAAUGCUAAACAAAAAUAUAAUUUAUUUUUCCAGAUUACAGGCCAAGAGAUAGUAUGGAGAUAUAUAGAAGGCGAUGGUAUGAGGGUUACAAAAAUAUUCAGACUAUUAACUCAGAUUAAAAAUUCUGUGAGAAGAAAAUUCAGAUAUGAUUCCAGAAUUAUUUGUUGAGAAUCAAUCCAAAGUUCCACAUCGGAAGUUUAGACUAAUAUGGUCUAAUAUAUAAGUAAUGUCCAACUCUAAUUAGUAUGAGGUCUUUUGGGAAGGAGCCCAAAAUCAAAUCCGUGUGGGCUUUGUCAGUUGGGCCCAAAGCAAACAAUAUCAUACUAAUUGAAAAAGUUGGACAUGCGUUUUUCAAGCCCAAUAUUAUUCAGGUGAAAAUUUUCAUCACUAUUUUCAGAAUGAUAGGCUAAAGUGUAAGAGACAUUUUAUUAUUAUUGUAUCUCAAAAAACGUGGAAAUGUUACAUAAGCCUUUAACAGUCUUUUUAAAAAAAAAGCUAUAUUCAAGAUAUUUAGUUUUUUUUUUAAAUAAUAUAUAUAUAUAUAUAUAUAUAUAUACACAUAUAUAUGAUAUUUAAACUCUAUAAAUAAGAGUUUGAUAUUUCUAGUCCAGAUAAAGUAACGUUAUAAUGCUGCCCAAAAAAUAAUACUACAAAUAAUUAUUUUCUAUUAAAUUUACAUUAUAGCAUUUUUUUUUAUAACAUCUAUUUUAUUAGAUAGUAAAAAAGUAAUACAUCAUGUUUACAAGCCAUUUUGGCAAAGAUUGAAAAACAUAAUACAUAGCAUGAAAACAACAAUACAUAAAAUUAAAAACACAAAGCACUAAAUCAAAGAAGAUGAGUUUAAACGAUUUUUUUCUUCGAAUUUUUCUCGCUGAAAAAGUGUCCACACCUUCUUUCCUCGUAAUCGCAUUUGAUCUAAAGCGAUUUUUUUUUUUGCUAUGAUCCAUCUUUUCUCCUGUUGUAUGUUAUUGACACAUUUCCAAGUAAGAACUAAAAAUAUUCUAUGAAUAAGAAUCCAAUCUUUUGAUUCUUUCCAUAGAAAAAAUACUUGAAAUUGCCAAUUUUCUACGACUGUACGUAUGUCGCCAUACCACAAGGAGUUUUCAUCUUCCGCUCCAAACCCUUGUCCCCUCCAUGGUGGUUUCCAUGUUUGUUGUUCCCAUAGUAAUGCCAUAUCCGGCUGAAUAGAAUCAUCGAAGAAGAUCAAACAUAAAACCCAAAUUCGCCAAUCAUCGUUUCCAUGACUCCUAACUUCUCCUAUUCCCGGAUCAAAAACCCAAAUUACAUCUCCAAACCAUACAGUGGAGGAUAAUAAAAACUGCUGUGAGUGUUGAUUUAAUCUUGGAUCAAUUUGAGUAAAUUGGUUCAAGAAAGAAUUAAAAUCCCAACCAAAGACUUGACGAAUUAUAGCAUUUAUUAUUUGGUCAUAGGUGUUACUAUAGAUGAAUUUAAUGGAAAUGUUAUUUUUGGUCAAAUCAAAAUUAUUUAAUAUUUAUAAUAUGUAAAAAUUUGAUCCAAAAGAAGUUAAAACAUAAAUAGAAUCUCAAACCACAUGAUACAAACAAGAAUCUGAAAAAAAGUUUGGAAUCUCCAAUAUGAUAUACAUUUGCAUUAUUAAAAAAAAAUGGCACUCAUUGUUCUUCUCUCAAUGCUUUUUUUUGUUUCCUUCUCUCAUUCACCACCACGAAAACACACACACAUAUAUAUAUAUAUAUAUAUAUAAAUAUAUAUAUAUGUCAUGCAUUAUCAUUUAUCAUCUCAUCGAUCUAACUCAUGCACUCAGGAUCAUCAUCAAAAUGAUCUUCUCCCUCCAUAGCCUCUCUUGGAUUUCCGGCUUCCAUAUUCUGUUUUCCGCAGGGCUCCAUCACAUUAUGUUUCUGACUUGUCGACACUAGAUUCAUAGAAAGUGAUUGAUCAUGGUUGGUGUCAGGGGUUGAGUCCAUCAGGGUAUUAAAGGCAGAGUCAUGUCCAAUACACCUCGUCGAAAAAAGAAUAUCUUCCUUAGAAGAGCCAAAAUUUCGAACCAACAGUCAAUAUCCAUCUCAUUGACGUCAAUGUCAAAAUAAAUCAGCUCUUCGAUCGGAACAUCAUUAUCUUCCACAUAAGGAACCAAAGCCAUAUCUUCCAUAUUAGUUUCAAGGGAUUGGGUUUUAUUGGUUUCAAAAGAAGCAUGUCUUCAAGAAGAAGAAAACUUUCUUCAGAAAACAACCAAUCUAUCUGGUCUGUAUUGGUUUCGAAAAUGGUGGUCGUAUUGGUUUGAGAAGAGGUUUCAUAACUUGUUUGACCAGAAGCAAAACCGACAUGGGAAAUGACAUUUUGAGAAAGAACAUGAUUUUCUCCAGAAGAAACCAUACCCAUCUGGUUACUGAUUUCAGAGGGAAUCAUAUUUUCAGAAGCAACAUAGCCUUCUACUGAAGAAAUAUUGGUUUCAGGAACAUUUAUGUUCAUAUCAGUUUGAGGAAGAACAUAAUUUUCUAGGGUAGGAAUCCAAUCCAUCUGGUUCAUAUUGGUUUCAGAUGACUAAUGUUUUCUGUUGAUGGAACACAACCUAUUUGGUUUAUAUUGGUUUCAUGAUCGCGAAUAUUAUCGGUUGAUGGACUCCAACUUAUCUGGUCCAUAUUGGUUUCUAAAGUGUUCAUGGUAAAGUCUAGAUCUGGAAGAAAAUAACUUUCUCCCAUAAUGCACAGAUCAGCUUGAGGAACAUAAGGCUCUGGUAUAUAAAUAAAGUCUAGAUCUAGUUGGUUCCAAUCGAUUUCAAGAACAGAUGAGCUAGGUUGAAAUGGGUUAGGUUCAGACUGAGGAAUACAAAUCCCGGAAGACUCCAUCUGGAAUGCAUCUGUGUUAGAUGCACCAACACUUGAUGACAAACCAUAAAGAACAGGAGGGUUAUCACUACUUAAGCCACUAUGGUUAGAUGCACCAACACUUGAUGACAAACCAGAAAGGACAGGAGGAUUAUCACUUAAGCCACUAUGGUUAGAUUCUCCAACACUUGAUAGCAAACCAGAAAGGACAGGAGGAUUAUCACUACUUAAGAUAAUAUGGUUAACAUCAUGGAUAGAAAAAAUAUGGGAAGGUGGGUUGUUACUUGUGGCUGAAGGAGCGUAAUUGACUUCCAUAGGUGACUUGUUUAAUAGGUUACCAAAAAGUGAGUGUUUACUCAGAUCCAAUUUUCCACCUAGAUGAAACUUGGGCACCAUCUUCGCUUUGCCCUUUUCAGCAGAUUUUUUGAAUGAAUCUGCAUACAAGAAAAACAAAAAACAUUAUUGACACAAAGAUGUUGAAUUGUGAAAAGUAUAUAUAUAGUAAAAGAACAUGACUUGCAUUGGUCGAUGGAUCAGGAGGAUGCUUCCUUCUUUUUCAGAGAAUACCACUUUGUGUUACUUUCAACGAUAUUCUUUGCUAAGUUGGAUGCAUUGAAAGGAUAUUCAUAGUCUGAAGGGUAGUUGAAUGUCUUAUCUGUUGACCUCCAUUCAUUCCUCGACAACGAAUGGUUCAUUAGCUUAACUUGUGCUUUGUAUUUCUGAAACAAUUAAUUAUAGAAUAAAACAGGUUAUCAUAAGGCUAGUAAAAUUAUAUAUUGAAAAAGAGUGUAUAUAAAUGUAUAUAUGAACCUGAAGGUGGCUACCGACUUGGCAAAGAUUCAAGUCUGAGUCAUUCAUAAUGCUCAAUAUGGAUUUAGGACAAGAAUCUGUAGGAUAAAGAACUGUAAUCAAUUGGUAGAAAGAAGAAUUGGUCAAAACAAAAAAAAUCUUACCUUUUGCACCCAAUAUGGAUAUAGCUGUUAAAAAUAUCAUUUGGCGCUCCUGGAGUCAAUACAUUGCAUCGUCUUCCAAUAUUACUCUCCAUAUUUAUUCCUUCCUCUCUCUUGUUCUCAGCCUCAGUGGGAUAAACCGGUUUAGUUUUUCCUUCAUCAAUUGCUUUGCCUUUUCUCUUUUGGUAUGUUUCAGGGGUUGUAAAUGUUUUGACGAAGGGUCGUCUUCCUAACAAAGAUGACUGACUUGUUCUCUGCCUCUUUAUGGUUUCUCUAAGAGAUUCAAUCUGAUUUAGUAUAUUUUUCUCCACAACUUUCUCUUGUUGUUCAGCGAUGUUGAUUUUCUUUAACUCUUGGCUCUUCUUAGGUACCACAUGCUGCCAUAGGUUUUCGAUGUCGUUUUCAGAAAUCGGCUUCGUUAGACAAAAACGUGCACUUUUUGUCAAAAGAUCUGAUGUUUCCUUGGUAUUUAUUUCUGGACUUAUCACUUUAACAUCAAAAAAAUAGAUAAAUUAAUCUGUGGAAGAAAGUAACAAACAGUGUAAAGAGUAAGCGCAAGAAGAAUGUGUAAAUGUUUGCUUACGUAUAAGAGGAAUUUUUUUGUGAAGCAAAGCAGUGAGAAAGGAAUGUGAAUCUAUAUGAGGCAUUUCAAUGUUGGCUAUCACAAGUCCAGUAUCCUUUUGCUUUUCGAUCAUCGAUAAAGCCUCACUUGCCUUGUUCAAGCUCAUCACUAGUACAUCAAUUUAUAUAUUAAAUAUUUACAAAAUCCAAAAAAAAACAUUGUUCAAAACAAUAAUCAAGUUUCUUCCAUUUUAGUUUUAGUUAUAUAAAAAAGUUGAAAAAACAAUAGAUUAACACGCACAUUUUCGAUUAUAUAUGAUGAUUAGCUAACCUAAUACAUAAUAUAUUAUUUAUAUACAUAUUAAUAUUUGAAAGAAAUUUUUUGGGCUAGAACCAGACAUCUAACAAUCUGAUUAUCCGAUUAAAAUAUAGAAUAUAUGUAUUAAAACUCAACAAUUAUACAUCUAGGGUAUUCAAUAAAAAAUUAAUAAAAAAUUAGAGUUCAAAUAUUUUAUUAAAUUCUUUCUUAUCGAUUUUUAUUUAUUUACAAAAAAAUAUUUUAAAAGAGAAAUUUAUAUGCGUAUUAUCAAUUAUAUUUGAUGAUCGACUAAUCUAAUACAUAAUACAUUAUAUAUAUAUAUAUAAAUAUUUGAAAACUUUUUCCAGCUAAUACCAAACAUUCGAAAUCAUGUUAAGAAAUCAUUUCUAAAUAACAUCAGUUAUCAAAAUCUCAUAUAUAUUCCACAAAAUAUAGAUUAUACUAAAAUUUAAUGGUUUUUACAAAAUAGUAUCCAAUAUCUAUGACAUAUUAUUAUCCAAACUAAUAAUCGUAGGUGAUUAGGAUUUUCAACAAAAGGGUUGUAAGAAAAUCAUCUUCAAAACUGAGAUCCAAGACCAAUCAGUAGCCUAUAGCUUUAAUAUUCUGUAAAUUAAAUUAUAAAUUAUAAUUUUCUAUGCGAAUUCACAUUUCUUCAAAUUUGUUCAGAGAUCCUGAUUUAUACAAUGUAGAAAUCUCAAGAUCUAGAGACGUUGAAUUAUAAUCAUCAGGAAAAUAUUCAGCAAAUGCUAAAAUUUACCAUACCAAAUGUAACAAAUUAGAAUAAUACCGUUGAUAUGUAAAUGGAAAAAUGAUCAACAUCAAUAUAAAUGGUAAACAAUUUUUUUUUACCUUUAUACGAAAAUUGCUUAAGCAUUGAAGUGAGAAAUUCAAUUGAUGUAGUGUCAUUAUCGAUUAGCAGAACUGAAAUAUCACCAAUGCGUUCAGGAACUAUGUUUCCAGCCAAAUUUACGGUCAACUUUUCAGUCAUAUUUUCAAAAAUAUAUGAUAUGAAGGUUUGAAAUAAUAACCGAGUUAAGGGGAAAUAAGCUAUUGCAUGGACGUAUAUAAAAGAAAGAAUAGAAAUUGUAGACCCAACAAGGUCAUAAAUUGCAAACAACACCAGAUGAAGAAAACUAUUUUAAUUUCUAUCAAAUAUAUUUCAUUUCAUCAUUGACCCUACCUAUAAUAUAUUUUUUUAACUCUAAAAAUAUACCCAGUCUAAAGUAUAAUCUAUUAGUUUAUAUAAUUCAAAAUCUUAUCAAACACAUGGUAAAUGAUAUUAUAGCAUUGGUAGUGAUAAAUAUAAUUAUUUUGGGAAUAUUAUAGUGUUUCUUGACCGAUAUAAUUUGAGAAUUUACACGAUAGUCAUCGACUUAAAAAUCCAUAUAUAGUUAGUUGUUAUUUCAUUUAUAAAUUUUGACUAGAAAUAUACAAUUAGUUCAUUUUUUAUACAAUGUUUUAGAAAAUGAUUAAUUAAUUAACAAAAAGUAAACAUAGAAAAUUUUUGUAUAUGCAUAAAAGAUUUUUCAUAGAAAAAUUUGGUGGAAUUAUGUUUUCUCUUUUUUCUUAUAAUUAGAUAAUAUUUUUAUUUCAGUCAGGAAAAAAUGUAGCUACAGAUGUGUUUUAGAUUUAUGGAAGCGUAAAAUAUUCUUAAUAUGUAAAGUAAUAUAAGUUCUCUAUAUAUUACACAAAAUAUAAUUCAAAUUUUGUUAAUAGUUUUGAUAUCAAAAGUUAUUCAUGCAUGCGUUUUACAAUUCGAUCCUUACCUUAUUUCGAGUACAAUAGGCAUGUGACUGGUCAAGUUUUUAAACUCUUAAGUAACUUCCAUAAUUACGUAGAAACUCAAAAAAAUUCAAGAAUAGAAUAAGGUUCAUCUUUUUAUAAAUGUUUAAUUUGAAACGUAUGCUAACACUUUAAAAUAAAGUAUUGAUAAUUAUAUGUUGUGAUGUUGUGUAAUGUAUAACUAAUGCUCGUUUAGUAGUGAACUCGUGAUCAAUGAUGGACUCCAGCUACAAGUUUGUUUUCCUUCCGAUCUGUUCACUACACUACAAGAAAGAAGACCUUUUAUAUUGGAAGAUAUCGACGUAAAAUCGACGUAAUGGGCCAUUUACGUCAAAUUAGUGACGAAUGAAAAAUUAUCGUAAAACAAUCAUCGUAAAAGAGAAAUCGUCGUAAAAUCUUCGUAAAUUACCAACACAAUAAAAUCGUCAGAAACAAUUCGUCGCAAAAACGACGUAAACGUUCCAACGAAAGUACGACGAAUUAAUUUUAACACAACAACGACGUAAAAUCGAUGUAAAAUUACAUCGGAUUUACAACAAUUUCGAGACGAUCUAUUUCGCAAAAGUCAAAUAAAUUUAUUAUAGAUCGACGUAAAAUCGUCGUAAUAUAUCGACGUAAAGUCGACAAAAAGUAUAUGGACGUUUUAAAAUAUUUGCCUUUAAUUAGACGUAAAUUUACGACGAGUUUACGUCGAAUUAGAAAAAUAAUUAUUAAAAUUGGAUUUUAAUUUAAUUAUUGAAUUUUUAAAAUAAUCAAAUAAAGGAAAAUUUAAAUUUAAAUUCGAAAAUAAUUCAUAAAUUAAAAUACAAAAUUAAAUACAAUUUAAAAAAAAUAAAAACUAAUCUACACAGUAAAUUCAUAAUCGUCGAGGUUGAGAUCGACGUCUCGAGGAGGCUCUCCGUCAUGUCCGUCCGUCGCUGUUGUACCAUCGUUUCCCGUCUGCACUACGGGAUCCGAAGUCUGACCCUGCGUCUGCUGGUCAGAAGGUCCACCCGCAAUAAUCCUGUGUGCUCGCCGUUGCCUCUCUCGAAAGUGGAUCGUGAAUAUUUCUAAUCCGUUUUUGAAGUCUUCAGUCAAUGACCCAUCAACAUUUUUGGGCGUAUACAUCCACUUUCGUAGAUCGUAUAUAGACAUUUAAAAACAAAUAAAUGACUUUUUGUUUUUGAAUUUUGAUAUAAAUUUCAACUACUAAAAAUUUUACUCAAACAUUCAAAGACUCAAAAAAUUGUGUCUUUAUAUGUUUUUUUGGUUGAUGGAAUAAUGAGAGAAGAAAUGGUAUAUAUAGAUUUUUUGUUUGGUUACCAACAUAUUGCCAUUGAAUAUUAACAUCAAAUUUACGUCGAAAUAAAAUUUACAUUAUAUUUACAUCGAUAUUACGUCAACUACAAGAUGGAGGCCAAUUCAUCGUAUUAUCGAUGUAAAAUUUACGACAAUGUUACGACGAAAUGUAAUUCGUUCUUUAUUCGUCAUAAUGUUGUCGUAAGUUUAUGACGAUUUUACGAGAAUACUAUUUUAUAUCGAAACGACGAAAUAUUUUGACGUCGUACGUAAUUUCGUCGUAAAUUUACUACGACCAUAAAUCGACGUAAAAAAUUCGUUGGAAAUGUCCCUCUUUCUUGUACUAUACAAGGAUUCAUAAAUAAUGAAGCUGUUUUGUUCGGUGAGUGCAUUAAUGUGAGUUAUACAAAAUUUACAUUGGUUACAAAAUUAGGAGACCAUCUCCAUCGGUUUGUUAGGUAAUUUAGAUAAUAAUAAAAAUUAAGAAAUGAUUAAAAAGUUAACAAUUCGGGUUGUUAGGUUGUUGUGGAAGAACCCAGGAAUAUAUAAAAACGUGGCACCAUGUCAUUGGUGGAAGAUUUUUUAUGUGUGUGGGCUAAAAAUCAGGAAUAAGCCCACAUAAAAAUUCUUAAUUUUUUUAAUUAAAAAUUCAUAAUUAAAAAAAUUUUAAGAAACCCAAUCCCAGGUUUAGGGAUGGAGAUGUUUUGCGUGAGUACAUUUUCUCUUUCUUAUAUAAAGUGGAUCCACCAUAACUCCUAAACUAAAUGAGACACACGAUGAGGCCGCAUACAGUGUGGAGAAGGUACACAAAUUCCGCAUUAUCGUUAUAAAAGCUAUGCGAAGUCUUUAAAAAUUAUCUACCGUUCUAAUAACUAACUAAAGUAAUCACGAGAAAUAGUAGUUGGAUAACAAGAUUUUUUUUGUCUUUCUGCUAAGGGCGAAAAAAGUAAUGUAACCUGAGCUCUUUUGCAUCUCUUCUCCGGCGAUGCCGACAGCGUCGGUCUCAUCCUCUUCUCCUCAUGGGGUAGAAAAAACAACCCAAAAAAUCUCCACCAUCCAAACCCUUGUGCCCUCCUCUGCCGCAGGUGAAAUAACCUUCACCAUCUUUGUUUUCACUCAAUGAAGCCGCAAAUCCCUUUGCUCACUCAGUGGCGGGGGAUCCUUCGUCUCUAGCACAGCAAAUCCUUACUGAUUCUGAUUCUCUAGCCUCGACUGACAGCAACUCUCGCUCAGAUCCAAUUGUGAUAGUUCCUGCAACAGUCCAAGCCCCCAAAUAUCAUUUAUGUAAAAGUUGUUGAGACAACAGAUCCAGAACUGAAGAACUCAUCAGUAGAGGCACCAAUUGUCCCGACAAUCCCUGCCUCUGAAUCUGUUUCCGUGAAAUAGUCUUUGGCUGCAGUUCCGGAAAUCCUAAAAAGUUCAAAACCCACUGUGAGUGAUUUGUGGUCAGGAUUAUUCAAAGGUGCUACGAAGCAACUGCAGAAGAAAGGCACAACUUUUACCUUCCCAUCCGAUGAAGCUUAUGUGAAGAUUCUCAAAUAUGUAAUCGAAAAGAACAAAAAAUCCUGGGAAAGUUUCAUCUGUGGGCAAUUAUACACAGAUACGCCCUCCCAGAAAACUGUUCAUAACAUCGUGAAUGGAAUUUGGAGUAAGCAUUUCUGUGAUAUUACAGUAUCAAAGAUAGAGGGCAAUACCUACCUUUUUCAGGAUACCAAAUCCUUCCACUCGACAAUGGGUUUUAACUCAGAGAUUAUGGCAGAUAGAAGGUAAAACGAUGUUUGUCACGAAUUAGGAGUCUGGCUUUGUUCCAUUGAAGCCCGAGCUCUCGUUGUCCCCUAUUUUGCUGAACUAAGAAAUGUUCCUCUACAGUUCUUCAAUGAAGACGGCUUUGAACACAUUGCGGGAUUUGUUGGAGAGCCAAAAUGUCUCCAGCCUAUAACUGCAAACAAGACAAAUCUGUAAGUAACGAAGGUAUUCACGAUAACUGAUCCUCGUAAACCUCUUUCAGAAGUUGUCAAUAUCCAAUUUGAUUCUGGAGAGAUCAAUAGAGUUUUAGUGUCCAGUCUGUGGAUGCCACCACUGUUUUAGUUCUGUAAGAGGUGAAUCAUCAUCUGAGGCAGUGCAAUGAAGCUCCAAUCUUUUGCAAGAAGUGCAACUCAAAAAUUCACGUGGAAGAGAAUUAUGCAAGAACCGUCCUACCUGAACAAAAUAAUCCAAACUCCCAUAGAAACAGAGCCAAGGGAUUAGCUGGAAAUACUUAGAAGUGGGUUAAAGUUGCUGAGAAAUCAUCUGCCAAAUCUGUCAAGUUUACUGAGUCUUCACUGGGGAAAGAAAACAAAUCUUCAAAGGGAGAGUUCAGUGGCGCUGUGGUCUGGUACAUCUUCAAGGGAAGAUCGACGAAAAUGUUAAAGGUCCUCCUAUCCCUGACACAAAAAAAUCAUCAGGAGUGGAAUCAGAUUCUUCGGACGUUGCUUUUGUGGACUUCAGCAAUGUUGUAAACCUGCAGGGUGAGCAGAGUGAGUUCGCAGAGGUAGUUUCAAAAAAGAAGAAGAAGGAUAAGAGGGACAAGAGCCCCAACAAAAGCAGCUUAAUAAAUGGUUGAAGAAAAACAAACCGUUUUAUGAGAGUAUUAUAGAAACCCAUGUGAAACAGCCUAAAUGUAGGAAUUUCAUUAAUAGAUCGCUUCCCGGCUGGUCUUUUGAACAGAAUUAUGAUUUCUCCAUUUAACAAGUGUAAAGGCUGUUGUGGUGGCUAAGUCUUUGCAGAUGAUCACCUACAAAGUUAUGUUUCCUGAUGUGCAGCAGUGGGUUAUUUUGUCAGUGAUGUAUGUUUCUACAGUUGAGACUCUGAAAAAGGAUCUUUGGGCAGAGCUGAUUGUUUUGUCUUCAAGCCAGACUGUUGAAGAAAAAGAAUGGAUGGUCAUUGAGGAAUUUAAUCAAGUUCUCCAUCUACAUGAGCAUUCAAGAGCUAUUACUCUUAAUGUGGAUAGGAGGACAAGAGAAUUCAGGCAGUGUUUGUUGUCGGCUGAGGUGUCAGAUUUGAACUACUGAGGAAACACAUUUACUUGGUGGAAUAAAUGUAGUGCCAGGCCAACUGUGAAGAAGUUGGACCACAUUCUUGUAAAUGAGGUUUGAUCUACUUUUUUCCCCUCUUCAUAUGCAAUAUGUGGAGAGCAUGGUUUUUCAGACUAUGCUUCUUGUGUUGUCGUCUUGGAGUUGGGUUCUCAAAGGCAGAGGAGACCUUUUAAAUUCUACAAAUUUUGCCUCCAGAACCAAGACUUUUACCCUCUGGUUUGUGAACAUUGGUUCUCAUGUAACAUGGUGGAAUCAGCAAUGUUAUGUCUCUCAAGGAAGCUUAAGCUUCUGAAAAAUGUCAUAUGUAGAUUCAGUAGAGAUAAUUUCUAGGAUUCAGAGAAAAGAGUUAUUGAAGCUCAUGAGAAGCUUUUGCUUUGCCAGUCUUAGACUCUAACUGAUCUGUCUCGAACAAAUGCAAAACUGGCGUUUGAAGCACAAAGAAAGUGGCAGAUCCUGGCAAGUGCUGAAGAGUCCCUUUUCUGCCAGAGAUCAAGUGUAACCUGACUUAAAGAAGGUGAUUGUAACACUUCUUAUUAUCACAGAAUGACUGCAUCUAGGAAAGCCAUAAAUCACAUUCACUUCCUUAUUGCACCAGAUGGAGAACAUUUUGAAUAUCAAACAGGAGUUUAAGAGCAUUGUGUUGAUUAUUUCUCACACUUUAUGGGUUGUGAGGUUGGUCCCCAGAUGCUGAUCUAGUCGGAUAUGGAGCUCCUCCUUCCAUUUUGAUGCUCUCAGGCCCAAAAAGAGAGUAUGAUAAAGAGCUUCUCGAAGGAGGAAAUCAAACACCUGCUUUUCUCAUUGCCAAAAAACAAAACCAGUGGACCUAAUGGGUAUUCCGCUGAGUUUUUCACCUGUUACUGGAGUAUUGUAGGGCUGAGGUAUGUGAGGCAGUUGAAGAAUUCUUCCGAUUUGGAAAGCUGCUUCAGCAAUGGAACACUACAACUUUGAUCCUCAUUCUCAAUAUCACAAACGCCUCUUCAACAUCUGAUUUCAGGCCAAUAUCCUGUCUCAACACUAUUUACAAAGUCAUAUUCAAGUUAUUGGCAACCAGAUUUCAGAAGAUCCUGUCUCAGGUAAUAUAUCCCUCUUAAUAGGUUUUCAUGCCAGGUAGGCUGCUUGCAGAAAACGUUCUACUGGCUACGAAAAUUAUGCAUGGCUAUAACUGGAGGAACAUCGAUUCCAGAGCAAUGCUUAAGGUGGAUCUUAGAAAGGCAUUUGAUUCAGUAAGAUGGGACUUUGUCCUCUUGACCUUAAAAGCGUUGGAGUUAUCAGAAAUAUUUGUUAAAUGUAUCAGUCAGUGCAUCACAACUCCCUCGUUUACAAUUUCAGUUAAUGAUAUCACCAGAUGCUACUUCAAAAGCGCAAAAGGAUUAAGGCAAAAAGACCCUCUCUCUCCUUACCAUUUUUCCUUGCAACGGAGGCCUUCUCAGGAUUUUCCACUCUAGAUUUGAGGCUGGGUAUAUCCAUUACCAUCCCAAGACGGCAGAACGGAACAUAUCUCACCUGAUAUUUGCAGAGGACGUGAUGAUUUUUUUUAUGGUGGGAGUUCAUCGUUACACAGCAUAACUGAAGGAUUAGAAAACUUUGCGUCUUGGUCAGGAUUGCACAUGAACAGAGACAAGACUCAACUAUUUCAGGCAUGAGUAAACCACAUUGAAUCCACUGCAAUGGCAAGCUAUGAAUUCACUGUAGGUUCACUAUCAAUCCAAUACUUGGGUCUUCCCCUUAUGCAUCGUAAACUGAGACUCUCUAAGUAUGACCUCCUUUUGGAGAAGCUUGCUAAUAUAUUCAGAUCUUGGGCUGUUACAACCCUCUCAUUCCCAGGGAGAGCUCAGCUGAUUGCUUCAGUGAUAUUAGGAACCGUCAACUUCUAGAUUUCCACGUUUAUGCUCCCCAAAGGUUGUAUUAAAAAUUGAAUCUCUGUGUGCUAGGUUAUUGUGGUCUGGUAGUAUUGUGACAAGAUGAGGAGUAAAAGUAGCAUGGUUUACUGUGUGUUUGCCUAACUCUGAAGGAGGUCUGGGCCUGAGAAAAUUUUCUGUGUGGAACAAGACGCUAUGUCUGCGGUUCAUUUGGUUACUAUGCUCUGAAAGUGGAUAUCUCUAGGCUGAAUGGCAUAUCAGAGCUUCUGGUUGGUGGAGGCAUAUUCAGCUGAUUCAUGGACGUGGAAAUCUCUAUUGGAUCUUAGACCAUUGGCUGAAAUGCUCUUAGGAAAUCUGUUGGAAAUGGACGAAAAACAAAUUUUUGGUUGGAUUUUUGGACACCUCUUGGUCCACUAAUUAAACUUCUGGGUAAUGAUGGCCCGAGAAAUAUCAGGCUCCGUCUUUCUGCUAUAGUCGCAGAUACAUGCACAAUGGAGACUUGGAGAAUCCCAUCGCCAAGAUCUGUAGCACAGCUGAGUCUCCAUAUGCACCUAACGACUAUCAACUUACCUUCUUCCUCUCAGAUCGAAGAUGACUGUUUUUGGUUGGAAAAUGGUGUUAAGUGCAGCCAGUAUUCCUCCUCUAAGACUUAGGAUGAUCUAAGGCCACAACAAGGUGAAACAGUGGUCUAAGCUUGUAUGCUUUAAAGAUUGUGUUUCGAGGCAGGCUUUCAAUAUAUGGAUUGCACACUUGAAUAGGCUCCCCACUAGAGCCAGAAUAGCUUUUAGAGGAACAAAUAUAUUCACAGAUUGUUGUCUUUGUUCCAGAGACGAGGAAACGAGAGAUCAUUUGUUGUUCAGUUGUGCUUAUAGCUCGGAAAUCGGAAAUCUGGAGGCUGAUACUUACAAGGUUAGACCAUACCCAGAGUCUGUUCAUCUUGUGGUCGGAGUUGUUAUCAUGGAUAAGUAUGCGUUCUGAUGCUGCCCCUUAUACCUGAAAGGUGGUGGCUCAGGCUAUGGUUUACCACAUUUGGAUGUCAAAGAAACAAUUUGCUGCACAACUAAUAAAGGAUUCCUGCAUCCAGCAUUUUCAAGUCCAUUGAUCGUGUGACUCGAAACACCAUUACUACGAGAAGACAAAGACGUUGCUUUAGCAACUUUAAUGUCUCUUUGGCUUCAAUGAAACAAUAUAAAAUCUAAUUUACUGUGUAUUGUUCUCCUUGUUUUUUAUUUCUUUUUUGCCAAGGAAGUUUUGUAACAGGUUAGCAUCUUUUAUAACCUUCUUUUCAUUUUAAUGAUAUUAACAUUCAUAGCAAAAAAAAAAAAAAAAGAAAUGGUACUUGCAAUGUUUUACACCAUGUUUGUGUUUUAAAAAUAUUUCACACUACAUAUUCAAAGUUAUAAUGCAGGAUACAAUUUGUUUCUAGUCGAAAAGGUCAAAAAUAUCCAAAUUUUUUAUGUGGUGUUUUCAAGAAUUAUGCUUUUAAGAGAAUUUAAGAAAAUCGGACUAUUCUAUCGAGAUACUAUAACUUAUUCAACAGAAUAUCUAAAGCAUUUGUUCUGAAAGCAAGAAUUCUAGAUGCUCUUCUCCCCAUUUGUUUUUGGUCGAAUGCCACAAAAGAUGUUGAGAAUUAGGCACAAGAACCGGGUUCAAUAAGUUGACAAAUACCAAACCGAGGACCGACGUGGAAUCGUGGAGAAAAAGUUACAUUACAAUAAAGAUAAAUAAAGAAAAGGGAAGAUGACGUAAAGCUCAGAUUUGGAGCCUAACGAACUCCACGUCACCGCCUAAGUUCAUCCAUUGAAAUUUGACGGCGUCUUCUACUCUUCUAUCAUAACCCUUCGUUCUUUCAUGUGAACCACGUCACCGCCAUUCUCUUUUUUUUUUCUUUCUUAAUACAUUUCUCAAUAUGCGUCCAAUAUCAUAAAUAUAAUAUAUAUAUAUAUAUACAAUUUAACCUAUUAAGGCAUUGCAACUUGUAGUGAACUUUCAAAGGAACUUGCAUCCACAAAUUUAAACAUUUUUGCAUGUUGUAGAAUUGAACACGAAUAAUAAAGUGUGUAUUGAUGAUACACUUGUGUUACUUAUUUGACAAUUUAUUUGGUUUUCUUAGAAAAACUGAAACUGGCUUAUACAGUAUGUUUGUACACAUUUUUUGUAUUCGAAGAAAUUGGGGCAUCAUACAGUGACAUUGCUAUUAAUGUUUCUUCUAUAUCAAACCAAGUGAUAACAAAAUAUAAAAAGUAAUAAUGUUGACUUGUAAAUAAAGUAAGAAAAUUAAAUUCUGUCAUUUCAGAAGAGGAAGUAUGUCACAUGUAUAAUAGAUCAUCGAUACUUUUCAUGAGAACUUCCACAAGAAAGCCAUUGACUUCUUAUACCUUUCUCAAUUUUCCAGCUUGACCCAUUUUUUUCUUUUGAAGUUAUGAGAACUUUAUGUAUAAAAACAUUUUAGACUAGACCUCAAGAAAAUUCAGAUAUUUUUAUAAUUUGUGAAAAAAAUGUUGAAAUAAAUUGAUUGGAUUAUUUCUAUUACUAACGUUAAUCCAGUAUUAUGGUGGUCUAUAUUAUUAUUAUAGCCACCUAUACGGAAUGUUGAUGUGCCAAACAAUGGAGACACACAUUGUGUACUUGGAUUAAUGAAUAAAAUGACAUGUAUCAGUCUAUGGGACACAUAGUAAACUAGAUUAUUUCAUACCUAAAAUGCUAUAAUAUUUGAUUGAUAAAUGAUAAGAACAAAGAAAAGUUCUUGCAAGUUUGAAAAAAAAAAAGAGAAUAUCUUGACUCGUGCGGAUCUCAAACUUUUCUUUUCUAUCCUCUUCUCAAAUUAUAUUCCAAGUAAAACACGCAAUUACCAUAAGAGUUAAACAAUAUAAAAAGAGUUCUCAACUAAAUCUUCCAAAAGAGGCUUUCUCUUAUGGUUCACAUGUAAGUAUAUACUUUAAUUUACAUAAAAUUUAAUUUAACGAAUCCUAAUGAGCCUAUUUUCUGAACACGUACAAAUCAAUUUAAUGCAUAUCUUCACAUUUACACAAGAAUAAAGAAACUACACAUAUUUUUACUCCAUUGCUUCUGAAUUUAUAUAAUUCUUUCCAUUUAAUAUGAUUGAGUUUUUAUCCCUCUAACAAGGAAAAAUAUUAUAUAUAGAUACAAGGAAAGCCCAUUUCAUUAUCUAUCUUCUCUUUGAUUCAGCGAGCGAAAUAAAAACAAAAGGCCAAAAAUGGGUGCAGACGCAAUCCAAACGAACGGUCACGAUCCCGCCAAGUUAACCGCCGCGAGAGGGAUCCAACGGUUGAGAUGCGCCGUGAAGAACUACGAGUGGGGCAAACUCGGACCGGACUCACUUGUUGCGAGGCUCCACGAGGCGAAUUCAGGGGACCGAGUCGACCCGGUGGUUCCUCACGCCGAGUUGUGGAUGGGUACUCACGAGUCGGCACCGAGUUACGUUGUGAAGGAAGAAGAAUUCGGGUCGGGUCGUAAUGGAUCCGAAUGCAUGGUUACAUUGAAAUCAUGGGUUUUGGAUUAUCCGAAUUUACUCGGGUCUAGAGUCGUGGACAAAUGGGGUUGUGAUCUUCCUUUCCUCUUCAAGGUAUUAUAUUUUAAAAGUUUCCAAUUAAAACAUGUAUAUUCAAAACCUUCUUUCAAAAAAAAAAAAAAACAUGUAUAUUCAGAUUCUGUUUAUGGUAAAUCUUUUUGUUUUUCCAGUUUUGUCUCAUACAUAAUUGUUCAGGAACAAAAGUAUUAUUUAUUUGAUCCUAAGAUUCUCAUUUUGAAUAUUUUUGCUCUGUUUUGAGGAUUUUACUUUUUGACUCUGUUUUCUUAUAAAAUUUCUAAUUAAAAGUCAAAACAUAUAUAUAUAUAUAUAUAUAUAUGUAUUUUUUUGUAAUUUCAGAUUCUGUGAAUUGUCAAUUUCUCCACUUUUUAUAUUUACAUAUAUUAUAUAUACAGCCAAUUUGUCUUGUUAGAUACAUAUAUAUUUUGGCUCUGUUUUGAGGAUGAUACAUUUUAACUCUGUUUUCUCAAUUUAUAAAAAUGCAUUUCUUUUUCUCUGUGUGUUUUAAAUUUAAAACAUAAAGGUUUGAUUCUAAUGAAUAAGAGUUUGAUGUUGAAAUGUGCAAAAAAUAAAAACAGGUUUUGUCAGUGACGAAAGCAUUGUCGAUUCAAGCACAUCCAAACAAAGCCUUAGCAGAGAAAUUGCAUAGAGAAGAUCCUCUUCUUUACAGAGAUGCUAACCAUAAGCCUGAGAUUGCUCUCGCCAUUACUCCUUUUCAAGCUCUUUGUGGUUUCGUAUCUCUUAAUGUACUAGAUUCUUCACUUCUCUGCAAACAUCUAAUUUAGUCGGUUUUUGAUUUAGAUAACUUCGGUUAUUUUGCCUAUCACAUAUGCUAAAUCCAAAAUUGAACCGGUUCUGUACCACUUUUGAUAUCAAAUUCAGGAGCUGAAGGAAGCCAUCGCCAAUGUACCAGAAAUCACAGAGCUUGUCGGAAGUAAAGCAGCAGAUCAAAUCUUCAAAGUCAACGAACACGAUGGAGACGAAACAAGUGUUAAAUCCGUUGUCCGUUUGAUUUUCACGCAAUUGAUGUCUGCAAACAUCAAUGAUACAAAGCAAGUCAUAUCACAGAUGAAGAUUCGUCUGAUCUCAGAAACAAACCACCGUGAGUUAUCGGAGAAGGAGAAGUUAGUAUUGGAACUAGAGAAACAGUAUCCAGGUGACGUGGGCGUGAUCUCAGCAUUCUUCUUUAACCACGUCAAGCUUAAUCCCGGAGAGGCUUUGUAUCUUGACGCCAACGAGCCACACGCUUACAUUUCCGGCGACUGUGUUGAGUGUAUGGCGGCUUCAGACAACGUUGUUAGAGCUGGUCUCACUCCGAAACACCGCGAUGUUCAAACUCUGUGUUCUAUGCUGACCUACAAAUUGGUAACUUUCUUUACACGUUAACGUUUUUUUUGGUUUAGUUGGCUAGCAAAAUUUGGAUUGUACCCUAACCCUAACCAAAACCGAAAAUUUAUUUUUCUUUGUUUGGUUAUUGAUUAAUUGUACCGGAUUUGUUUCAGGGCUACCCGGAGAUUUUGAAAGGAUUUCCUCUGACUCCAUACAUUACGAGAUACCUUCCACCAUUUGAUGAGUUUGAAGUGGACCAUUGUGAUCUUCCUAGAGAGAAAUCCACUGUUUUUCCGGCCAUACCAGGGCCAUCGGUUUAUCUGGUUAUUGAAGGAAAAGGGACAUUGAAAACCGGUUCAUCUCAAUUGUUGGUUAAACGAGGAGAUGUUUUGUUUGUUCCGGCACAUAACGAGAUUCACGUAACCGGAGAAAGUGAUGUGAUGAAGCUUUACAGAGCUGGAGUCAGCAGCAGAUUCUUUCAAACAAUGUAGACUAAGUAAAGAUACAUAUAUAUAUAUUUAAUUUGUUAUCUAAAUGUAACCAUAGGGAUCAAGGCAUUGACGUGAUCAUAGUCAAUAUUGGUCCAUGUUCUUUAAUCCUACAAAUGUCCCAUUACGAAUCAAGGGUUCAAGGGGUUGUUUUUCUAUUAACUUUUGUUGUUUCUUCUACACCUUUAAAAUUGAAUUAUAUAUGUAAAAUGAUUAUAAAACAAUGUUUUUUUUUUUACUUUUUGCUAUUGUAGUGUAGUAACUAGUAAUUAUUCUUCCUUUACCUGUUUAAACUUUAAUUUCUAGAACUACUCUGCAAAAGCACAUUUGUUCAGUUGUAAUAUGUAGAGAUCGAACCACAGAGACGAGAAAUUCGCUCAAUAAACCUAAUAGACUCUAAUUGCGCUAAGAAGAAAUAAUGAAAUUGAGAGCAGCAAUGCAAUAAAAAACGGUUUUAAAUUCGAUGGGAAAGAAUUAGGCUCAGGGUGUUUCACAGAAAAUCAGAGAAUGCAGACAAAUCGAUUAGUCAUGAUUCAGAUUUAAGCGCAAUUCUUGAACUCAAAUCACGAAAUUAUAAUUAACUAACUUUUGUUGCGAAAAUUAUUUAAAUCUAAAUCCCAGAAUCCCAAUUUUCUUUGCAAUCCUAAAGAUAUAAAUUAGCCUUAAGUGCAGGUUCGAUAUGUUCACAAAGUGUCUAAACCAAUUUUUUUUGUGGAUAGCUACUUUGCUCAUCCUAGGUUCUUUCGGAUUAUUCAAUUACAGUUUCGUGUCAAUCAAUUAACCUAAGAUCUAAGUUCUAGGUGAUCAGUCCAAAAUUAGCUUUAAGAAUAAUCUAUGGUGAAUUACUAAUCAGAUUAUGACCCCUAACUAAUUAAUUAUCUAAAAUUCAAAGGGAUCCCUUAUGAGAACCCUAAACCUAACAAACAAACUACUCAAAUAUGGAGAUUGAAUCAAUAAACAUGAAUGAAUAGAUUGCAGAAAGCAGUAAAAAGAUUAAUAAACAGAGGUUCAAAAUCUUCUCUCAAACAAACAGAGUCUCAGACUUGUCUCCCUAAAAGCUCUCUCAAGAUCAAUAGAAAUCAAAAGUCUCAAAGAAAAUCUAGAGUGUAGCCAAAACACGUGGCUGAAAACCCUAUCAAAAGCUAAAACACAUGUUGGACUUCCCUGUAAAUAUUGGAGACUUCUGGGCUCAAGAGAUUCUUUAAAACUUAGACAAAAUCACGUUUUUCCUUAUUCACGACAUUGGUGUCGAGCAACACCAAAACAUAUAAAUCAUCUUUCACGAAUUUGAUCCCUGCUUAGUUCCAAAAUGCUCUAAAAUCUCCAAUUAAACUCCAAAUACAUUUAAGACCUGAAAAGACUCCAAAAAAUUAAAAAAACACUAAAGAGACUCUAUAAAUAAAACCUAUCAUGAUCAAAAACCAUAAAAAAAAACCAUGAUAUAUCAUUCUCCAUGAUAAGCAUUUUUCGAAUGGUCUGAGUCGAACAAAACAAUGUUCUCUAAAGUAUAAGGCCAAUUCUUUUUGCCUCCCUCGUCACUUACCUUUUGUUUGUGGCUUCCAUGGCAUAGACUAGAGAGAUGACCCCGAGAAGACCUAAUCUAGCACGCAUUUGUUUGGAUGUUGCUAAUGUUCCGUUUUAAAGUACAUAUGCAAAGAUCGUGGAAAGUAAAACGAACUCAAUCUUAAGUCUUGAGACAAUGAUUUUUGCCAAUUUUCCGGUAAGCUUUCCCGGUGAAAUCUUUCACUGGAAUGACCUGAUUAUGGAUGCGCUGGAAACUUGAGUACUAUAACGUGAUAUACUUAUAUGUCAAAAUCGAAUUUAAACUGAAUGAGAAAUGAGGAUUCUUAGAGAGUAUAGCUUGAAAGCUUAAAAAUAACAUAAGUUACCAAAUGACAAGUGUGAUUUGUCCCACAUUAGCAAUUCAACGUUACAUUUUGAACGUAGUGUUACGUUCUCCCCUUGAUAAUACUCAAUAGAUCUGCUUCUAGCCUGUCCCAACAAUCUGAUUCGGAUUGAGAAUUGCGGUUUUUGCGAACGUUGUUAAAGAUUUCCAAAAAAAAAAAUAUUUCAUUACGGCUUUUCACAUCAAAUCGGAAAAACUCUGCUUAGUUUUAACUUUUUAGGGAAUUUGAUAAAUAUUUGACAAACUUUGUGAAAAUAACUUUUGGAGUAGCAAAAUUCCGCAAAAAAAAAAAAAAAACUCAGAGUAAACUUACUGACAAAAGAAAAAAGUUUCCUCAAGUUGGUUUAGUCGCAUUCCUUUUGUCAAGCACUUAAUCCACUACAAAGACGUUUUGUUGUAAUUUAACCGAACUGAACAAUCAUUCCAAAUCUUAAUAAGCAGCUAAAGAGAGACAUUGAGAGACCAAGAUAAACCGGUUUACUUGCACCUACUUGCUGUUUGUUAAAGCUUUGGUUACAAAAUGUGAAACGAUUCCAACCGGACAGAAGAGAAGGCACAAUGAAACCGAAUGCCUCGUCUCAAUCUUAUUCUCUAGCCCAUCAUUAAAAACUUGCCUGCAGAGAAACACUCAAAACAUGAGUUAUAAGAAACAUGCUAGGAUCAAUCAGAACCUGAAAAGUGCAAUAUAGUACCUUGCAGCGAAAAGAUCUAUAACAAGAAGAUGAAUCCAAGCAGAAGCAAGAGUCAUUUCACUUGAGAACAUUUUCGCUAUUCCAGACAACUGCAAAUGAAAAAAAAAAAAAGAAAUUUUAGAAACUGGAAUGUACACAUUUUCUUGUUUUCGAUAUUUCCUGAUAAUUGGAGGAAAAAGCUAAAACCUCUGGCAACAUGUAUUUACUGGAAAACAUGUAUUUGAGAGUAUCAGGCGUCCAAGAAAGGUAUAACAAAUACGCGUAUAAUACGCCUAAGACGAUAUACGGUAUGCUACUCUCCAUACACUUUUUGGUCUGCACAAGGAGAAAACAUACACUCAAUUCAAUAUGAACUUUUUUGAUUCUGCACAAGAAGUUGUAAAACUGCUAAACAAAAACUCACAAUUUCAGCUUUUGGAGCUACAACCAUUAGAGUGUAAAAGGGUAAAACAGCGGUUGUUCCAACCGCAAAUACACUGCUUGCAAUCUGAGAAGUAGCUAUCCCUGCACAAGAACAUGUUAUGUCUCUGUCCUACUUUCAAUUUAAACAUUGAAGAGCUAUAGAUUCUAGACAUAUAUCAAGCCUCUUUUUGGUUUAUAAUGUUUCAGUUAAGAGACAUUACAUGAAGCUCGUACACCAGAGGAUUUCUUUUGAACAAGAGAGGACGAGUUCGAUGAAACAUUAGGGAAAAGUGCGAUUUUUGAUCCUCCGAUAAAGCUCCAACGAUUCUGAAGUCGAAUACUUGACGAACCAACGCAUAGUUUAGACUUGACAUUGCUGAGAGAAAGACUUGUUAUCGAGCUCUUAGCUGAAAUGUUGCGAUUCAUCAUCUGAAUCACCAAACAAAAUGAAUCAAUCUGAUGAAAUAUAAAAAACUUCUUUAUUUCUUAAAAUUUAGGAAUCUGAGACCAAAAGCACUUUGAUCUGAACAACAACGAAUCAGGAACAGAGUUAGGUUCUGUAACAGGGACCCAUGAGGAGUAAAUUCAACUUCUUUAAUGUCUGCGUCAAUUCGAUCUGAUUCAAAGGAUAAAACUUUAAGGUUACCCAUAAGGAAUCUGAACUAUUCGAAAUUGUAGAAAGCUCGACAUAAGAAUCUAAUCCGACAAUCUCCAACAACUGUACAUACAUACAUACAUACAUACAUACAUGAUACAUACAUACAUACAUACACACACAUAGAUAUAGACAUAUAUCUGCGUAUACCGAAAAUUGGAGAAGAAUUGAAAAAGGAAGAGAAAAGGUAGAUACCGAGAGAGAUGAAGAAGACAAAGGCUGGGAAAUGCAAGAAGAUAAAGCCAUCUGCGAUUCAAAUCUUCAAUAGUCUUUGCCAGAAUUUGGCCAUUCAUUACCUUCUUCAACGAGCUCUCUCCAUAUAUAUAUGUAAAGUAUCAAUUUUUAGAGAGGAGAGUUGAGAGUUUUCCACUGGUUGAAAAGGGUAAGUGGAGAAGAAGCUAAGAGAAAAAGUGCUCACUCACUCUUUCUUCAUCAGUGUGGACAAUUAUAGUUGCUCAUCCACCCGAAUUUUUUAAAAAAGUUUUGGUCUUUUUUAGUUUUCCUCGUUUACUUCUGUUUCGCAUAAACAAAAAAAAAAGAAAAAACCAUUAUGAGUUUGAGUUAAUUUUAAAGAGAAAAUCAAAUUUAAAGAUUCUUUAUAUUGUAUGUUCAAAAUUGCAAUAUAUUAUGGAAAAAAAGAGAAGAUUUUUUCCUAAUUUUAGAUAAAAACCUUUAAUAAAAAUCAAAAAAUUAUUAAGAUAUUAAUUUAACCUUAUAUUUUAGAUAUUGUUCUUUUUCUGGUCAAUAUAAAAAAUUACAGUUUACCAUUCUUAUAUAAAAAAAAAUUAAUUAGACUCAAAUGGAAUGUUUUUAUUUUUUUAACAAGAAUAUAACUUUCAUAGAACCUAAUACCCAAAAAAAAAACAUUUGACCCGACUAAAUUAAAAUUCAAGGAAAGAUUGGAGCUUUGAUCCUUUACUCGAUAAAAAAAAGGUUCUUCAUUGUAUGAUCAAAUGACUUGUCGGAUUGUAUUUGUAGGUGGCUCAUCGUAGGAUUAAUAGCUUCUCGGAUUUUGUUAUCCUUGUCUUGUGUUUUGCUUUUUCCGUGAAGAUCAAAAUUUUCUUCUAUACAUUCCUGCUAUAUAUUCCAUCAUGUUCUACCGGUUACACUUAUAAGCCUAUAAGGAUAUCUAAUCUACUUUUUUAUUUGAUAAAAACCUAAUAUCUUUGUUAAUGGAUAUUUGUGCUUAAACUGAAUUUAGACACAACACAGGUCUAGUUCAGGACAGAACAAGACAAAAGUGACAGUGCUACUUCUACUCAGCAGUGGUUGUGACUUCCUCUAAAGACAAAAGUUGGUGUUUCCACCAUUAUUUCGGUUUUGCUUUUAUUAUAUAUUUUAUUUUAAUUUAUUUUUCGCUACAUGAGAAUUGCAUUAACGAAGGACAUUAUAUAUGAAAACAAAAAAAAACAAUAAAAAGAUAUACAUACAUGUGUCUGACACUCAUUGUUUGUGAAAUCAGUUGGGAGUAAGAUAGCGCUUGAGUGGGCUAUUUGGUAUGAUAGCUUCUCUCUAUUGAUGGGCCUUAUUGACCCACCCCACUUCAGUUUUGUUUAGUCAUUCACAACAAGAAAAACAUGAAAACAAAAGCAACACUUGUCUUUUCUAUCUCUCAAUCUGUAAGUGGUAUAUGCGCAUUUCGUUGAAUUCGAUUGAGACCAAAACUCUUUUAAAACAUAAUGUAUAGUUCUUAGGAUUAUAUGGGGAAAAUAUAUGAUGUCUCAAAGAUUUUUCAUAACAUAUUAUAUUCCUUAUAAUAAAAGGUCACCUGGGGUUUUUCUAUAAACCGGGGUUUUUUUAUAAACCGCCGGCUUUUCUAUAAACCGCCGGCUUUGUCUCUGGAGAUGUUGUAUCAUCUGCCGGCUUUGUGUAAUCCGUUGGCUUUGCUCUGUAACACUAUGGUGAUCAAUAUAAUAAUAUUCAAUGAAAAAAAAAAAAGGUCACCUAAAUAAUUAAAAAUUUGAAUUUUUACGACUCAUAUUUCUAUCCUAUUCCAAAGCUAGGAAAACAACAUAAAGAGUUACAAAUUCUUACUAUAUAGUACUUCCAACAAUAUCUUUAUGUAAAUUUGUGCCAAGUCAUUUUGAGUGGAAAAUGUAGAAUAUAUGAUCCACAAGAUCCUUGAAUAUACUUGGGUAUAUAGAAAUAAAAAUGAAUAUCCGAGACUCUUAUCUACAAGCCUAUCCUUAAGAAGGCACGUCCACGAAUGUUUCUAUCACAGAUUUUCAGUGGGCCAUCAUCUAUUACUUCAAGAUAUUGUUCUAAAAAUGCAUCUCAACCUCAAGCUUACUAAUCAUGUGACAAAAGUGAUAAUGUGAAUCUAGUUUUUCAAAUAAUUUCUUUAUUCAAUGACGACUAAUCAAAGAGUUGGUAUAUUUUUGUAUUCACAGUUCUUCAACUUUGUAUAUUUUCAUAUCUUGAGCCGCAUUGUAAUUUGUUUUUUCUUAUAUGCAAAAUUCAAAAUCAAAGAUUUAUAGAACAUUACAUAUUUAUUUCAUCAGACAUUUGAGAAUCCGAUAGAAAAUGUCUCGCAAACCGGAAAACAAACGUUAAAUCCGGAAAUUAAAACAAAACUAAGGAAACCAAAAAAAAAAAAGCAGAUGAUAAAAUCAAAGGUGAGGAGGGAGAUAAAGUUUUUUUUUUUUGAUGUUUACACAAAGCAAAGAAGCAGUGAAAUUAAGCAUCGGUGAAGCUUGCUGGCUUGUAGGCGAUGAAACUGAUGCACUGGACUUGACGGGUGUUGUCGAAUCCGAUGAUCCUAAUGAAGGCCUGGGGGUACUCCUUCUUGCACUCUUGCACUUCCUUCAACACUUGAGCUGAGUCAGUGCAUCCGAACAAAGGAAGCUUCCACAUUGUCCAGUACCGUCCAUCGUAGUAUCCGGGAGUGCUUCCGUGCUCACGGUGCACAAAUGCGUUCUACAAAAACACAUUACACAAAACCAUUCAAAAACAUAAAUCAAGAUUCUGCUUAGGACCUCUAAAUAGUUAUUAACUUGAUUGCAAGAUUCAUAUGGUCCAAGAGAUCAAGCUACUCUAUAAAUGAUUUUUAUUACCUCCAACUCGAAUUCAACACAGGGAAUCCACUUGUUGCGGAGAAGGUAGUCAACUUCCUUAGCCAAUUCAACUUCGGUUAGGUCAGGAAGGUAAGAGAGAGUCUCAAACUUCUUCUUACCAAUAGGAGGCCACACCUAUUUUUUGCCAUUUUUCCAAAAUCAACAAAAACAAUAUUAGUUUAUAUGAUUCGAUAAAUCAAAAACCCAUAAAUUUGUUUUUGGUAUAAGAGAUUUGACCUGCAUGCAGUUAACUCUUCCGCCGUUGCUUGCGAUGGAAGUAAUGUCGUUGUUGGCCUUACGGGUCACAGGGAAAGCAGCGGAGGACUUAAGUCCGGUGAAAGGUGCGACCAUUGUGGCCUGAGCCGGAGAAGCGACCAUUGUAGCGGAAGAGAGCAUAGAGGAAGCCAUAUUGCCUUUACUCUUUUUGUGUGUGACUUAGGUUUGGUCUAGUGCUUUGGUCAUCUAUAUAUAAUGGUAACAACAAUGAUAACAAGGUGAGGGAGUGAUCGGAGGGCUCAGGAUCCAUGAGAUUGAAGUUGAAUAGGAUUAAGACCGUUGGAUUUUUGAGUGGAUAUGUGUGAGGCUUAAUUACAUGGUAACGGCCACAAAGCCUAAAGGAAAGGUGUUGAGACCCUUAUCGGUUUGAAUCACUAGAAAAAUGCCACGUGGAAGAUAAUUCCAUGAAUCUUAUCGUUAUCUAUGAGUGAAAAUCUGUGAUGGUGGUGCUACUCAUUUUAUUUUCCGGUGUGGGUUUAGCCUCUUCCUUUGGGGGAGAUAAAUAUUACUACUUAAAAGGCUUUUAAAUUUUCAUUUUCUUUUUAAACCUUGGGUUUGAUUAACGAUAACGUCAGGCCCAAAGUGAUUGUAGAAAAAUAUUGUAGUCAGAUUGCAAGGUGAUGUGAAUUUUUAAUUUACUAAUAGCAUCUCCAAGAAAUAACUUUUACAUUUUAAGUAUGUUAGAUCUUAAAUUUAAUGUUUGAAGGCAGGACAUAUCUCUAAAGGCAACUUCAAAUUUUCAAAUAUGAGGUUUUGUUCACCCCAAAAUAGCAUUAAAACUUUAAAUUUGAGGUUUAUAAUUUUUUAUUUACAUUUUAAUCUUUACAAUUAUAUAUUUCAUAAAUAAUUAUUUUAUUUUUAGCUUUACUAUUCUAAUCCAAACAAUUUUAUAUCUCAUGAAUACUUCACAUUUCUCUUUAUAAAUUUUAUAUUUGCAUAUAAAAUGAAAUUACAAACUAAAAUUAAAAAUACCAAUAUGAAAUAAUAUUACAUAACAUAAGAACCAAAUUUUACACAACAACAAUAUUACAUUUAAAAAUUUUAAUACAAAAUAAAGUAACAAAAAUAUAUAUAUAUAAAGUAGCAUAAAAACUUCAAUAUUACACAAUUGAAAAUAGUACAACAAAACUAAUAUUCCGGUAAGUAAUAAAGUUGUAUGAUAUUUAUUAAUAAUGAUAUAAAUAAGGAUUAUAAUGUAAUAUUUUAAAAUUUGUGAUAUUGGAUUUGAGGUUUUGCUUUUGGAGACAAACACCAUCAAACCUCAAAUAUGAGGUUUGACCAACUCAAAUUUGAAGUCCUCUUUGGAGCAGUGGCGGAGGCAGCAUAGUUUUAGAAGGGUCAACUGACCCAAGUAAAAUUCUUAAAAAAAUAAAAUUGUUCUUGAUUUUUUUUUUUAAUUUAUCCAUCUUCCAAGCCCAAAAUAAGAAUUGACCCCCCUAGAAUUUAAAAUUUAUUUUAAUCCUGACCCAUGUAACUAGUUUUCUUGCCUCCACCACUGUUUUGGAGAUACUCUAAAUGAUAAAACCACAAAAUAAAAUUUCAAAACAAAAUUGUUUUUUAUUUUGCAUUAUAAUGUUUUAUUAUGGAUUAUAAUUACCUAAAUCAUAGAACUUUUAUAAAUAGCUACAAAAAUAUAUAUUAGAAAAUAUUACAAGCAAUACUAUAAAAUUUUGAUAUUAAAUUACAUAUAAAUAACAAUAAAGCACAAAAUAAAUCAUAAAUUACAAUUAAAAUACCAAACUAAUGAAUGAAACUAUUACCAUAGUGCUCCAAAAUUAUUUAGCAUCUAUAUUUUUAUUGUAAUUUGCUUGAUAAAUGUAAAAUUUUUAUGAGAUAUAAAACUGUAGGAGCUCAACUUAUAAACAGAAAAAUUAUUACGAUUAUUUUUUAAAUAUAUAAUUGUAAAGAUUGAAUGUAAAUGAAACACAUAAAAUAUUAAAUUUGAGGUUUUGAGAGUUCUAUGUCAAAUUCUUAUCUUUUUAUAGAGUUUAUUAUCAUAUUUUCACGGGAACACACAUAAUAUUUAUCUUGAUUUCGUACAUUAAAUUUUGAUUAAUAUCGAGUUGUGGCUGUCCAUAGGAUUGUUUGAUUUCACUUGGUGAACUAAUGAUCCACGAGAUAGCGAACUCAAUAAUUAGAUGUUGAAUGAGCUUCUCAUACCAUAGGCCUUUUUAAGUUUUUAAUGAUAAUAAGCUUUUUCUUUUCUGAACCAUGCUUUAAUAUGAGAUCUGAAUCUGAUACCAAACAACAUGUAAAGUAUGAUCACAUGUAAGCUUCUUCUAUUUAACGGAAAUUUCUAAUUUGCGAUUUAACAUAGCUCUUUGACCAACUCAAUUGGGUUUGCAAUCGAAAUUUAUGGAAUAUAUCUUCGAUCAAAUGAUAUCUAAAGAGUUCUCUACUAGAAAGCUCAUAACUUAUGUAUGUAUUUUUCUUUUCUAUAAUAAAAUUAAGAAGUAUUUUUAUUAUAUAAAAGAGAAUCUUUCGGUAUGGAAACAACAUGUAGGAUAAUUAUAACUUACGAAAUCGCAACAUAAGUCAUUGUUAAUUUAGAUGGUAACAUUUAUCAAUACAAUAAUAUAAAAUUUCUAAUUUUAGUAAUUUGUUUUUUUUUAAAUUAUGUUUUUUUUUUAAAUUAUGUUUUUUAAAUAACACUAAUAAAAUAGAAAAAGGUAAAAUAAGAGGAAAAAAACAGAAACUAUGAAAUAGAAAAAAUAUAAACUAGAAAAUCUACAAUCUAUAAUAUAUUUUUUUACUUUAAAAAGAUUGUUUAUUAAGUUUGAAUUUUCUAAUGAUAAAUUAAAUAUAAUUUGUGGAUGAGUUAACAAGAUUUUAAUUUAAAAUAUACCUAUAUAUAUACUGAUCUUAAUGAAUUAUCAUUUUUAAAAUCUAAAUAUUUUAACAAUCUUCUGCAAGUCUAGUUAAAUAUAAAACGUAAAAAACUUAUCAAUCCAAUGAUUAGAUAAGAACUAAUAUUUAUCUUACACUAAAUAUAACUUUCAACCUAAUAAACCUAAACUACAUUAGAUCAAUGCUGAAUUAUUAAUAUUUAGAGCUUAAAUCUCUUUAAGAAAAAUAUACAAAAACAAAAUUCUAUCAAAAAACAUAGCAAAUUUAAAAUCGAUUAUAAAUCAAAUGAAGUUUGAGAAAAGACGAAACUAUUUGCAAUUUAAAUUGUGAUGGCGUUUAUUCAAUUUAGUAAAAAGAGGAGCAUUUCAAAAUCAAAUUUAAAGUAGACAGUUUUGGUGAACAUUGACCAAUAUCUGCCAAAUAUGAUAUGACCCCAAACAUAAAUUCAUGAUCAAACACUAAACAUGUUUUCCCAAAUCCAAAAGCUUUAAAAAUUAAAAAUCAAAAUACAAUCAAAAGCAAAACUAAAUCGAUGAAAUUAUAUCAAAUAACAUCGAAAGAAGAGAUUUAAGCUCCACGAUUACGAUUACAUCCACUUGAAAAUAUGGAUCAUCUGAAGAUUAUAGAGUUGCUUGGACAAAUUCUAAGUAGGUGGAAUUUAUCUCACUAAAUUUAAACUACUUUCUUUGGUGUUUUUUUAAUUUUAAUUUCAUCCAUUUAAUUUUAGGCACAUUUGAUUGAGUUUAUAUUUUAGGUCAGAGUCUAAUUUGUGGUAUUGGUUACAAAGAUGAUGAUAAAACAAAAAUUAAUUCGUAGUGAUUUGCGGGAGCAAUUCACAAACCUUACAACAUUUUAUAUAUAAUGCUUAAUUUGAUCAUAUGAUGAAAAUAAUAUUUACAUAACACUAACACUAAAAUCUACACACUGAGUGAUUAGAAACGUUAUAAAGUGAUAAUACAGAAAAAAUAACUAGUUUUGUCAAUCUCCUGUAAUUGACUUUUGCACAAAUUUAUGAUAGUUUUGCAUUAAAAAAUUUGUAAAGAGAAAUAAAUCCUAAAAUAAUCUUACAAACACCUUAGUUUGCUAUAGUAACCUACCUCACACAAAUCCUAACCAAUAUAACCUUACCAAAGUUGGAAAAGAUCUUUUUUCCUAGUUAACUAUUUAUUAACAAAAAUACCAUUAUUUAAAUUAUUUAUUUACGAUCUUUAUUUUUUAAAAAAAUUUCUGAAAUAACAAUUAAAAAUCUUUUCAUUAAUAAAAUUUUUUAUGAAAUAACUAUUAACUUAAUUUGAAAAACUGUUUUGUUGUGACAAAACAACAGACAAAAAAAUUGUCGGUGACGAUGAAGAUGAAGAUGAAUCCGACAUUUCGCUUGUUCUCCAGUGACUCCGUCGAAUCCCGUGUCUUCUUCCCUGAAAUUUUUCUCGAAGUUGUUGUAGCGUCGGCUGUGUAGAGGAAAAGUUUCAGCAUUGGUCGUUAGAUCAUGUAUGAUGAAGUUACAGCUUUUAAAAAUAAAACUAAACAUUAAUUUUUGUGUGUUGCAGGAAUGGACAUUCAUGUAUAGUAUACUUGUUAGAUCAUGUAUGAUGAAGUUAUUGUUUUGUGUAUGUAUUGUAUAGUUGUUGAAUCAUGUAUGAUAUUGUUAUUGUUCCGCGUAUGUAUGGUUGAGUUGUUAAAUCAUGUAUGAUAGAGUUAUUGUUUUUUGUAUGGUAUAGUUGAUUCAUGUAUGAUAGACUUGUUUAACCAUAUAUAGUAUGGUAAUGUUACUGAAUCGUGUAUGAUAUACUUGUUGAAUCAUCUCAAUUGAUGAGUCAACAUCGUCAAUGACAGUUUUGAACUCUAUAUUUUCUAUGAUCUCGACGCAUAGAUAGACCGUCUCGUUUUCAAAUUGACGUAAAAACCCAGCAAAUUGUCGAGUACUUGCUACAAAAACCGGAGAUAUAUCUUAUGAUAGUUUUUGCUUGUAUCUCUUUGAUUUACCAACAAAAUCAAAUCUACCAUCAAAAGAUGGAAGACUUUAUUUUCAACUGAUGGGCUUGCGGGUCUAAGGUAGUUUUUUUUAACAAGCCCGUUGGUUCUCCAAAAGUUUUUAAUUUAUAAAACCUUAGUGUCUGCAAGUGCAUAGAUGUACGUUGUAGGACUUAGGGUGUCGAUCCACAAGGAGAAUGUCUAAUCUGCGAGAAACAACAAACUGGGAAGUAAGCAAAGUCAUAAACCAAUAAAAGUUUUGGGGUUUUUGGUUGAUCUUAAACUAAACCUAAUCUAAUAUUCACAAGAAAUGCAAUGCAUGAUAAAUUGUUAAAAGAACAUCUAAAACAUAUCGACUCAAACUAAAGACUCUUAAACUCAUAGGUGAUGAUUUAGACUUCUCUGGUUUACUCUAAUCAAUGUAUGAUGGCAUUUCCAAUUAGCUUCCGGGCGAUUUAUUUUCAUCUGUUUCUGGGAAUCUGCAUGGAACUAUAAUAGACAUAUGUAUGAUUAACCAAAUCUCGUCACCUUAAUCAACUAAUCUCUUAGAUCUAGAAAUUAACUCUCGCUCUCAUGCUAAACUUAAGAUCAUGCAUUAAACAUUGAAUUUGUCUGCUCACAUCUUCUCUAUAGGUAGCUUUCGACUCCUAUAGCGACUAUGUUCUUCUGAAGCUAGGUAUGGAUGAUCUGAUACAGCACUCUCGUGACUCUGAUCGAUCCUAGGCUCAGAGAAUAGGUCAUGAAUCUACUCUCAUGCUUUAUGAACAACUUAUAAGAGAUGAGAUCCAGAAUAUGGUCUAGAACAAUAGAAAUCCUAAUCGAUAUCUAUGCUUGUCGAUAUCUUCAAACAACUUGAAUCUCUAGACUAAUCUACAUGAUGCAAUAAAUGAUGAAAGACAUAGAAGAAUGCAAAAGAAUGAAACAGAAAAGUUAAUAAGUUAAAAAGGAGAAAGAACAAUGGAUCUGGGGAAAAAUCCCCAUUUCCAUCGCCUAGCCCUAGAAAAACAGAGUUUAGUGGCUCAAAAUCUCAUUACAGGAGCACACACCCGUUUAGAGCUGCUAAACAAUGUAUUUAUAGGUCAUAAGGUCUUCCAGGUCUCAUUUAGGGCUUUUCUGAGGAGAAAUGGCGAAGUGGGUUUUGAUGUUGGGCCUUGUGGCUCGUCCUAAGGUCCACCGGGGGUGAGAGUAUUCCAGGGCAGGUAAAACAUGUGUUUACCGCGGGUGAGAGUCUUUCGGGACUAGUAAACUGAAUCAACUUGUUCUCUUUUGAUUGCACCGGUGGAUAUUUGUGAUGUAAAGUUCUAUGUAAAGCUGGUUGGCUCCUCUUGAUUGUCUCCAAAUUUGAGCUGGAUCAGACGGUGGGAAGACCUUCAUUUGUUACCAAACUUCCGACGGUCUAAUUCGGAGCUGAAAAAGUGGAUUUCUUCCAUUUUGCCAUCAUUUUCCCUAAGUUUCCUGAAAAGAGCCUUGAAACUACAAAUACAUGGAAAUCAUAAUAAAAGUUCCUAAAACUAAGUAAAACCUUUGAAAAAACAUUUGAAAUCAAUGGUGAAAAUGAGUCAAAAUCAGGUGUUAUCAAUUCCCCCAGACUUGAGACUUUGUUUGUCCUCAAACAAAACUAGACCAAAUCUGGAAAAUAUCAUUCAACAAAAAUGAGAAGGAACUUAAAAAUAUCAGCAACCAUACGUCUAGACCUUAAUUAUGGACAAUGGAUCAAUCAGAUCAAGUCUAGAAAAUUCUCACCAAAAUACAAACAUAACUAGUCCGUUAAUCCGUCAUGCGAAAAUCCACACACUUAGAACUAACUUCCAGUCAACUUGCUCUUAACAUUCAUUAAAGGUUUCAAUGGUUCUCAUCAAAAGGAUAUUAAACAAGGCAUUCAAGGUUAGGUAUCAAAGGCUUUUUAAUGGUAAGGCUGAUGUGUUUAGUGUUACAUGUUUCUGGAGAGACAAGAUAUUAUGCAAAACAGCAAGAGAUGAUGGAACUGUAAAUGCUCCCACAGUUUCUGUCACAUUAUUCUUGCUUUAAGAUUUCUGAUCUCUUUUCUUCAAGUUCUCCUUAUAAAUCCCCCAGACUUAGAUUUUUGUCCAGAAUGUGAAUCCAUAACUCCUUAAGUGAAUACCUAAUGACUUGGCUCAAGUGAUUUCGGCUUCUAAGACUCUUUUAGGCUUUUGGUUUCCUUUCCUUUCUUUCUUUUUCUUUUUUUUUUCUUUUUUUUUUUGAAAGGGGAAACUGCCUUUUGACUUGGAGUCUUAGGGAGCACGAAAAUUACCUUUAAGAAUGAGUUUUUCUGAGGCAUCAUACGAUUUCUGGCACACUCCCUUCUGGUCUCUUUCAGUCUUUCUCUUGAGUGACUGAAAACUGUGUUGUUCCUCCCUCUCCGACGUUUUUGCACAUAUCUGUCAAAUUAGACCUAAAAGAAUGUAAGAAAUUAGAACAUGAAGAUUUGGGUUAAGGCUGUGGUACCAGCUAAUGAUGAACUGGCCAUCUAGGACAACAAAGAAUGGUAACAAUAAGGUAAAGAUGUCCAAGAUGUAUAUCAUGAUGCCUUUUUAAAACCAUUGAUGAGAAAAUUAGAUGUCAAGAUUAAGUCCAAGUAGAAUGAGCUAGUAUAUCCUGUCAGAAAUGAUCUUCAUGAAUAGAAGUCUUCUGGUGGGAUUUUGUAGUGUAAGUAUUCUAGCUACUGCAUAGUCUAGUACUAAACCUUGAAAGAGCUUUCAUGAGUGAUUGGUGUAGAAGCAAACAGGUUGGUUAUCAUCAUCGAUUUUUUCAUUAUUCUUUCAAAAUGUAUUUGACCCUUUGAAAACACUUUUUGAAACUCAAAAGACUUUUGAAAAGUUUUUAAACAAUCGAAAAAAUGAAAAAUUUUAAAGAAAAUGCAGAAUGCAAGGGCUCAUGCAAGAAAAAGUGGUUAGAAAGGGAUGAAAUCCUCCCCCAGACUUAAAUCACACUGUCCCCAGUGUGAAAUAAAUCAGGAAAGGAUGAGAAAUAGAGUAUGUAAGAAUUUAAAAAGAUUAAGGAAGGGAGAAGUUACCUGGUGAUGGUGAUGGAUUGUGAGGUGGUUGUGGUGGUGAUGCUUGAUCAAACUUGGAUGCUAGGAAUCCAAAACAGAUUUGAUCAAGGUGGUGGUGGAAGUGGCCGAGGGUGGCCGGCUGGUGCUGGCCGCGGAUGAAGACAUCCCGGCCACGGUAGGACGCGUGCUGGCCGCGGUUGAAAGCAUCGCGGCCGCGGUGGAAAGCUUGAUGGCCGCGGCUGAACCUCCUUUGGCCGCGGUCAGCUCCUUUUUUUUGUGGCAUACUAAGACCUGUCUAAAAUGAAAGAAACAAAACUUUAAUAGAAAAUGAAAGCUAAACAAAAGCAAAUAAGUACCUAAAUGGGUUGCCUCCCAUUUAGCGCUUUGCUUUAUAGUCCUUAGCUAGACUUUGCAAAGAAAAAGACUUAGUUCAAAUAGAAUCUUGUCUUAAGACAAGUCUUUUUAGAAAUCUUCCUGUUCUCUCUUGCAAGUUCUUCAUCACUGCAGAGUUCUUCUGGUUCAAAUGUCUAGGCUUUAUGCUUUCCUCUUUUACUCUUAAGUAGUGUAGCUUCAUAGAAGAUAUCCUUGUCGAUAUUGGAAAAAGAAACUCUCCUGUUGGGCCAAUCCAUGAUGGCUCCAGCAGUUGCUAGGAAAUGCUAUCUAAGAAUAACUGGAUAAGAGUCAUCUUUGUUCUUCACUAUGUAUAGAUCGACAGGUGCAAUGCAAUCUCCAAUCUUUAGAGGAAUGUCUCGGGCUAUCCCACUUGGUGUUGCACUUGAAUCAUCUGCUAAGCUAAUCUUUGUCAUGGUACUUGAGAUGUGCUUAAUGCCAAGUAUCAAAGCAGUUGCUUUAGACAUCAUGUUAAUACAAGCUCCAGAAUUACAAAGAAUAUUGAGGAAUCUUACACCUCUAAUGUCACAAGAGAUAAGAAAUUGACUUCUGUCUUGAACUUUGUGCAGAGUUCAAACUGGUCUUUCCUGUGGAUGAUCUGGUGCCUCAAAUGCAGAAUAAGAAUCACAAUAGAACUUGGCAGCAUCGAACUCGAUGAUUGAAUCUAUGUAUGGCAUUUCAAUUCUCUUAGGUGAUUCAUCCUCCACAUCUAUGACAUCUGGUUCUUCUUCGGUGGUCUUCAUGAAUGGGAUAUGGGAGUCAUCCUCUUCUGGUUCAUCAGGGUCUUGGUGAUGCGAACUUGGAGGGAGAUGGCGGUUCCCCGCAGGUGGAGACGUUGCAUCCGCGGUGAAGAAAAGUUCGGCCGCGGUGGGGAAUCCCGAGGGUUGCUCAGCUGCUUCUCCUUCUUGCUCUUCCAGAAUGUCUUCAGGGUUAUUCUGGGUGUCCAUUGUAGGAUUUUCUACAUCAUAAUUGGUUGAUUCUUCUUCUUUUUUUCUGACCAUGAACAAGAGAAUCAUUCUUAUGAUUCUCAAAGUCUUUCUCACAACAAGGUUUGUGUCUCCUUGGCACUUAAAGAGAUGUUUGAUGUCAGAACUGGUUUUCAUGCUCUUGUGCUCAAGCUUACUCAGGCAAAAUUCAAUCUCUUGAAGUUCACCAUCUCUCCUUCCUCUGUACCAUGAAACGAUUUCAUUGGCAUCCUUGAUCUCUAGCUUAGCAGCAUUGGCAUCGAUGGAUCCUUGAAGGAUAUCAUACUUCUGUCUUGGAUGCUCUUCCUCAAAAGCAUCUAUCUUCCUUUUUAGGGCAGCAAUGUCUUGAGAGUGCAGAUCUUCUAGCGAUUUCACAUGGUGAGUGAGGUCAUCGAUCUUCUUGUACAGGAUAGCUUCCGUAACAACUUGAAAAUCAAGGUAUUGAUUCAGCAUAGCUCCUAAUCGUUUCAGUUGGAGCCUCAAUCGAUCAGCCUCAGCGUUUUGGUGCAGAAUCUGAUGAGGAAGAGGAUGAGAUGGUCGAUGAUUCACCAGGUGUGGCGAAUAGGGCUCAUCUCGAUGAUGUGGAGGUCGUGAAUCUCCAUGGUGGUGGUUCGGAUUAGGGUUCUGAAGAUGAUGAUCAAAAUCACGCCUGGAUGGUGAUUCACAUGCGCAGGGAGCUUCACACAGGUCGCAGGACCUUCGCUCGGGGUUAGGAUUUCUCCUUGGAUGAUCCAUGCUUCAAAGGUUUCUGAAACUAGGGCAUACAGAAGAAAGAAUAAGCAGGAAAAGAAAAAGUUAUGGUGUUUAUGAAUUUAGUUUACUUCCUAUGUUGCUUUGGCAGAAACUCGACAUAUAUAUAGUCUUCUGUGGCUUCAACCUCCCAGGUUUAGACCUCUAGAGACUAAAAACCUCCCCGGCAACGGCGCCAAAAACUUGAUGGGCUUGCGGGUCUAGGGUUGUUUUUUUAACAAGCCCGUAGGUCCUCCAAAAGUUUAAAAUUUAUAAAACCCUAGUGUCUGCAAGUGCACAGAUGUACGUUGUAGGACUUAGGGUGUCGAUCUACAGGGAAGAUGUCUAAUCUGCAAGAAACAACAAACUGGGAAGUAAGCAAAGUCAUAAACCAAUAAAAGUUUUGGGGUUUUUGGUUAAGAUCCUAAGCUAAACAUAAUCUAAUAUUCACAAGAAAUGCAAUGCAUGAUGAAUUGUUAAAAGAACAUCUAAAACAUAUUGACUCAAACUAAAGACUCUUAAACUCAUAGGUGAUGAUUUAGACUUCUCUGGUUUACUCUAAUCAAUGUAUGAUGGCAUUUCCAAUUAGCUUCUGGGCGAUUUAUUUUCAUAUGUUUCAGGGAAUCUACAUGGAACUAUAAUAGACAUAUGUAUGAUUAACCAAAUCUCGUGACCUUAAUCAACUAAUCUCUUAGAUCUAGCAAUUAACUUUCGCUCUCAUGCUAAACUUAAGAUCAUGCAUUAGACAUUGAAUUCGUCUGCUCACAUCUUCUCUAUAGGUAGCUUUCGACUCCUAUAGCGAUUAUGUUCUUCUGAAGCUAGGUAUGGAUGAUCUGAUACAGCACUCUCGUGACUCUGAUCGAUCUUAGGCUCAGAGAAUAGGUCAUGAAUCUACUCUCACGCUCUAUGAACAACUUAGAAGAGAUGAGAUCCAGAAUAUGGUAUAGAACAAUAGAAAUCCUAAUCGAUAUAUAUGCUUGUCGAUAUCUUCAAAUAACUUGAUUUUCUGGGACUAAUCUACAUGAUGCAAUGAAUGAUGAAAGACAUAGAAGAAUGCAAAAGAAUGAAACAGAAAAGUUAAAAAGUUAAAAAGGAGAAAGAACAAUGGAUCUGGGAAAUAAUCCCCAUCUACAUCGCAUAACCCUAGAAAACAGAGUUUGGUGGCUCAAAAUCUCAUUACAGGAGCACACACCCGUUUUGGACUGCUAAACAAUGUAUUUAUAGGUCCUAAGGUCUUCCAGAUCUCAUUUAGGGCUUAUCUGAGGAGAAAUGGCGAAGUGGGCUUUGAUGUUGGGCCUUGUGGCUCAUCCUAAGGUCCACCGGGGGUGAGAGUCUUCUAAUACAGGUAAAACAUGUGUUUACCGCAGGUGAGUCUUCCAGGACUGGUGAACUGGAUCAACUUGUUCUCCAUGUAUCUUUUGAUUGCACCGGUGGAUCUUUGUAAUGUAAAGUGCUAUGGAAAGCUGGUUGUCUCCUCUUGAUUGUCUCCAAAUUUGAGCUGGAUCUGACGGUGGGAAAGCUUCCAUUUGUUACGAUCUAACUCUAAGCUGAAAAAUUGGAUUUCUUCUAUUUUGCCAUCAUUUUCUAUAAGUUUCUUGAAAAAAGCCUUAAAACUACAACUACAUGGAAAUCAUAAUAAAAGUUCUUAAAACUAAAUAAAACAUUUGAAAAAAAAUUGAAAUCAAUAGUAAAAAUGGGUAAAAAUCAAGUGUUAUCAUCAAUGUGUGAUAGUUGAUGCUGAUGUGAAAGAGAAAUAGUAAUAACAUUAUUGUAAAUAUGUUUUUUCGACAAAGCUCAAGAAGAUAUAAUACUAGCAAUAGUUCAAUACCCUCAAAUAUCUAAUAAUUUUGAAUUUUUAUGUUAUUCUAGUAAUUUCAGCACUUUGUAAAAUUGAAAUAGCAAUCUUCUUAUUUAUAAAUUUGAUUUUUUGUCAUAAAUUUAUUAUUGAGUAGCAACAAAGUAUAAUUAGCAAUGUACUAGAUUUUACCAGACUAGUGGAAACUCUAAUCUAUUGCUAAAAUUUCAAAAGCCAAUUUUCAGUAAAUUCUUGAUUCAGCAGCUUUUAGCUAAAAUGCGUCUAGGAUCUUUACCAGGUUUUUUUAGUACAAGAACCUUAUUUUUUUAAUACAGAAAUCUAGUACAAGAACCUUAUUGUUUUAAUACAGAAAUCUAGUACAAGAACCUUAUUAUUUUAAAUCUUUUAUUUUAAUACAGAAAUCUAAGCUCCUCCUACGGUUCAGCCCACAAUUCCGAAAACCAUGGAAAACGCGAGCCCCUUGGUUUUUGAAACUUUGAAUAGUCUAUUGUUGGGUAUAUAACUUAAAGUAUUAUUAAGAGCCUAUUUAUAUAUAUUGGCUUUCUCCUAAAAUCAUGGAGUGAUUGGAAGAUACAAGAGGUUUUGUCCAACAUUUUUAAAUCGAAGUCGAAAAACUAGGAUGAUGUGAUGAUACACACGCGCGGCCAUAUGGGUACCAACCCCUAUCUUUCAUUAUUCUUUUUGGACUUUUCCUUCUUUUUUCCUUCUUUUUUCCCCCUAAUAUAUCUAUAUUUUUGGACAUUUUUGCAUGGCAUCUUCAUCUAUCUCUCCUCCAUUUGUCGUUCUUUUUCAGUUCAAUGUAUUAUCAACAAGAGUUCACUAACCUUUUUUUUUGUCGACUUUAUGAGUUCACUAACCUUUUUAUUUUAGACAUUCAUGGGUUUGUUUUUAGCUCGACUUUUUUUUUCUUUUUUCUAGAUUUGGAUUUUUCUAGCUUCACUUUUGAUAGAAUUCGGGAGAAAUAUAAAUUGAUAAACAAAAGGAAGAGUUAACGUCUGAAAAAAAAGGAAGAGUUAACGUUGGAUUGACAAAAAAAGCAAGAGUUAACGUUGGAUUGACAAAAAAAGGAAGAGUUAACGUUGGAUUGAAAAAAAAAAAAAACGUCGGAUUAUGUAUUAGAUAAACCUCCAUGAUCCAUAUAUAAAUAUUUAUAUCAUUGUAUAAAUCUAGCUAGAAAAUUGGUCCUGUCAUAUAUGACAAUAAUUAUAAUUUUUUAUUAAUUUGUUUAGCAUAACACGACAAAAAAAUGAGUUGUAUGUUCAUGUAUUGUAUGCCUCUGUUUUUCAACCUAUUACCUAUGCAUCCUAAUAAUAAUGGAUCAUCAUCUUUGUCUGUCAAUCACAAUUUUAGAGCAAUAUAUGAUAGUUUGGUUCCUCGGUUAAAUUCUAUUUAUGCGAUCAACAAAAUAGUGUAUUGCACAUAUCAUUUGAUUCUUUUUCUAUAUGUAAAGGAAUUAGUAUCUUUUACAAUAUAAAAUUAUUUUUAAAUGUAAUUUUCUUAUAUCAUUGUAAUUUUAUCGGAUGUCUCCCAAAAAAAAAAAAUCUAUACAAAACUUCUAAAUAACUUGAGAGGACUAUGAAUCUGCUAACUAAAAUUUUAGAGCAAACAUCAUCACAUAUUUUUUCAUAAUAAACAGUAUAUUGAUGUGUAUUUGGUUGAGUCUUUUUAUCAACUUAUAUGAGAUCAUAUAAUCAUUGCAUGUUAUUAUUUCGCAGAAUAUCUUCAUUAGUUAUGGGGGAGAUAAUCGCCACCCAUGUGAUAGCCGACAUAAAACAGUUAUCAUAGGUACUAACAGGAUGUAAAGGCUAUACAUACUCUACAAUGGCUAUAUGUUAAUUUUGCUUUGAUAAAAAAAUUCGCAUCAACGAAAAUCAAUUUCCAAUUUGACUCAAAAUAAAAGAAUUUGUUGUUUAGCGUAAUUGCCUAAUUGGUAAGCAGUUUUAGAAUUUAGUGACACAUUCAAAAUCUCUCAAGUCUGAUUCUACGAAAUACAAAGAAUAAUACGUUUGAACUAAGUGGUUUUUAUCAUUACGAAAGCUAUAAAAUGCAAACAAUGACACGUUCAGGUAUACAUAAACUUGAUUAAAUUUCUAUCAAAAAGUUUGGCAAAAAAAAUUGGCAAGUAGUUGAAAUUUGUUUGAAUAUUUACGUUACCAUAUGGAAAUGAGCUAUAAUUAAUUAUUGAUAUUUUUCUUUUGAUUUUUAAGGUUUGUUUAUAGGCGACACCGAAGUUACUUGUAUUAUAUAUUUACAAUAUACCUUUGUCGCAUGAUUAUGUUAAUUAGUUAUUUACAUAAUAGUGGUCAACCAUUAAAAGGACGACUAAUGAACAAGAGUUAAGGCCAACGUUAACUAUAUUCUUUAAAUUAACAACGCCGACCAAACCUUAAAUAGUUGGAUUAGGUUAUUUCAGUAAUUACAAAAAUUGAAAUGGAAAAAUCUGAGAGUGAGAGGGAAACUCCAAAACCACGUUGACCAAAUAAAUCACCGGAAACCAGAAGCUGGAAAUAUGAGCAAAAAAGCCAAAAGCCAAAAGAUUGUAAGUAGGAAAACCAUCUGCGACGCCCAUAGAGAAGAAACGAAACCGGUUUAGUUCCUACAUCAUCACUUUUCCCUCUCCGGAAAACCAGGAAAUUCUGUACUUACGCACAAGUGUAAUUAUACGUAAAGAAAGGUUUGCUAACGCUUGAUUUAAUAAAAGAACACAGUGGAAAUAAAAAUGAUUUGCAGAAGAAAUAAAAUUAACAAAUUGAAGUCACGGAAUUAAAAAAAAAUAAAACUAUCAAGCAUUUAUCAUCGAUAUUUUCUUGAUAAACUUUUACUGACAUUAUUGUAAGCUAAAACUUAAAUUUUUUUUUAAAAUUUUCUAUGUUUUAUUUACGAUUUCAUAUUUAAUAAUAAAAUAUUUAUAAAAAAAGAUUUCGCUAUUUUAUAAAUUACUAAUCAAAGACUUUGCAAGACAUUACAAUAAACCUUACUAUUAAUUAUUGAAAACUAUAAAUAUAGCAUUUGAUUAAUAUGUCAAAAAGAGUUUUUGCGUUUGGAUUAUUUUUUAGUAAUUUUUUAUUGUGUUGACAAUUUUACCACUUUAUGUAUAUGUUUAUGUAUGGUAUACAGAAAAAUAACAUAAAGAACAAAAUUGUUUUUAAACCAAAUUUUUUUUUUUAAAAAGUGUCUAAACACGCUUGAAACUUUGAAAAAAGUGUCUAAUAUUUCUAUGUUAAAUAUGUUGAAUGUUGAUGAUAAAAUAUAAAAUAUGUUAAAAAUGUUAUAUUUAGACAUUUUAUUGUAAAUAUAUUGAGUAAUGUGUAUUUAAAAAAAGUAACUAGAGAUUAGGUUAGACUUCGACAUUCAAUGCCGGUUGUUUUAAUGAAAGAAAACUACCGAAUCUAACCAAUAUACGUUGACAUUAUUAGUUUAGUUAAAAAGUACAAUAAUUUAGUCAAAGUGAUCCUUUCAGAUAAAUUUAUUAGUAAGUAGUUCUUCGGAUAUUAAUGUUAAUUAUCAGAAUUAAGAUGGAGCUACAUACUGUAGCCGAUCAGAAAACGCGGCGAUUCGACCAACCUCUGUUACCAUAGUGUCUCCGCCACGCGACCACACUAUUCCGCUUUGCAUGCGACUUUGAAGUUCGAACCUCUCUGCUCUUAUUUCCCAUUUUACCCUCUUCUCUUUUACGAGUAAUUUCGCUUUCAAAUUCACCUCCUCCAAUUAUUUUGGCAGUCCAUUAUGAAUUGUCGAAUAUAAAACGCGGUCAGAUAUUAAAAAAUAUUUGAAAACACAAAUAGAAACGCUUGCUUGGCUUUUUUGCCGAUGAAGAUCACGUGAAUGAAGGUCGGAGACAAAACACAAAAAAAGCUUUGAUAUAGUAUUUUUCAUAUUUAUCAGUAGGUAGAAAAAAAAAGAUUGUUAAACAAAAUUGCAUCGGAUGGUAAUAAAAACGAUGAAAACUAAAACGACGAUAAAUGUCCAUGUUCAAGUUAACAUAAUACUAGAGAUAACACGAUUCAUGAACCCUUUUUGUUAUUAUAUUGUGGAACACUUUUGCAUAAAGUAUAUAAACUGUAGAAUGCAUUUCUUUUAAAUUUCGAGUUCAAACUUUUUUGGGACAGAAUGUUAUUUUAUAAAUCAAAACAAAGGCUGACUCCAAGUAUUAAGAGAAAUUAUGUGUUAAAAAUCUCAAACUCUUAUAAUUCAUCGACAAAUUUAAUAUUUUGAUAUGUUCUUCAUUUUAAAAUAUAAAUCGGUUUAUGAUCUAUUUUUUUUGUUUCAAAAUAUAAGUUGUUCUUGAUAUUUUAUGCAUAAUUUUUAAAAACAUUUCAAUUUUAACCUUAUUUUUAUAAUAUAUUAAGAGAAAGACAAUUAUAUAAUAUAUUAAUAAAAAAUAUAAUAGAAAUUUUAAUAUACUUUAUUAAUAUGUGUACAACCAUCUAAAACGACUUUUGAAAUUGAUGGAGUAUUUAGUAACAUAUUUUUAUCAAUUAAGUAUAUCAUAUUAUCAUUUAUCUUUCUAUAUAGUCAAUACACAUUUUCAUUUAUCUUGGAGUACUAAAUUUACCCACAGUAAAUUGUGGAAUUCAUUUUUUGUUUUGUCGCUUACGAAAUUCAUCUAAGCAUACUAUACGAUACAAAUUAUGAAUAUACACAAAAAUAAAUUCCAUCGCUUGUUAUGAUCUCUCUCCGACCAAACCCAGCAGCUUCCUUUCUCUCUUAAAUACCUCUCCUUUCUUCUAAGCUCAGGACCGUACUGUACUUUCCUCUUAGCACAAAAAAAAAAAAAAAUUCUCCUCUCAUCUUCUUUCAAAAAAAAAAUGCGUAUGAGCUGUAACGGAUGUCGAGUUCUUCGAAAAGGCUGCAGUGAAAACUGUAGCAUAAAGCCUUGUCUCCAAUGGAUCAAAUCCGCCGAAUCUCAAGCCAACGCCACUGUCUUCCUCGCCAAAUUCUACGGCCGUGCCGGUCUCAUGAACCUCCUCAACGCCGGUCCUGACCACCUCCGUCCUGGUAAACCAAUUCGUCAGCUCAAAACAGAUUUACUCUUAUCAUACAUCUGAUAAUAGACUAUCCCCCUGUUUCCGAAAACAGAGGACUCUGUUUUUUCCUUUAUCAUGCACUUGAUAGUGGAUCAUCCCCUGUUUCUGCUUUUUUUCUUUGUUCUCUGUAAUCAUGCAUUAGUGGAUUAUUUUCAAACAGAUGACUCUGCUUUUCUCUCUAUCAUGUAUCAAGAAAUGGCUCAUCCCCUGUUUCUGCUUUUUCAUUGUUCUCUCUAAUCAUGCAUUAGUGGAUUAUUUCAAACAGACGACUCUGCUUUUCUCUCUAUCAAUAUCAUGCAUCAAGAAAUGGCUCAUCCUCUGUUUUUAAAGCUCUGUUUUUUUCUCUAUCAUUCCUCUGACUAUGGAUCAUGCCCUGUUUUUGAAAACAGAGGAAUCUGCUUCUUUUUUUCUUUAUCAUGCAUCUGGUAAUAGUUUUGUUUUUUUUUGUUUUUUGUUUUUUUUUGCAGCGAUAUUUAGAUCAUUGUUAUACGAAGCAUGCGGGAGGAUUGUGAAUCCGAUUUACGGAUCCGUCGGGUUAUUAUGGUCCGGGAAUUGGCAUCUUUGUCAAGCAGCCGUGGAGGCAGUGAUGAGAGGCUCUCCUGUAACUCCGAUCGCCUGCGACGCAGCGAUCACAGGCCAGUCUCCUCCUUUCAACAACAACAAACUCUUCGACAUAAGACACGUGUCGAGAGACGAGAACGGCUUAAAGAGUCGGUGUCGGUCGAGCCGUGGUGCAAACAAACAAGAGAGAAACGUGAGGUCGUCGCUGAGUCACGAGUCUUCACUGAGUCACGAGUCGACGGUGGUGAAGGAUGAAGGGAGUAUGGUUUCGUCGGAGGAGACGAUGACGGAGGAACCGAGUUGGAUCGGGCUUGAGCUUACUUUGGGGUUGGAGCCGGCCAUGGCACGUGAGAGUCACGUGGUGGUGCCGAUGAAGAAAAGGAAGCUAGAGAGAUGUGGCACGUGCAAUGAUGAGGACACGUGUAAGAUUGAGCUUGGACUUGUGUGCAGUGAGUGAGAUGAAUGGUGUGUUUUUUUGGGGCUGUGUGUUGAGUUUUAUUAGCCUUUUAGGUGUACAAAGAGAUUAGCAAAUCUCUCUUUUUUAGUCUCUUUUAAGUUUUGUUUUGUUUACUGUUUUGCAUGUUCGGUGUUUUUUCAUAAAUGUGUAUGAUAAAGAGGUCUUAACUUAACAAAAUUGCAAUCUUCAAAAAUCUGUGCGGAUUAAAUGCAGAAGAUCUAAAAAAUUAUAGGAUGCAUUAAUUAAGCCUCAAAAUUUCAAAGUGGCUUAGUGGUGAAAUCUCAAUAUAAAUAUACAUGACGAUUUAGCCAUUUAUCAUAGAUAAAGCAUAUGGUUUCAUUUAAAAGCUACAUGUGUGAUGUGUGUUAGAUUUUGGUUCGCAAAGUUUCUCACAUGUGUGGUGAUGGAUUAAUUAGGUAGAGAAGAGGAUUAGGACGUUUAGUUAACUGGGUCGAAAUAUUUAUUCAACCAAACAUGGCCCAACUCUUUUGGACUUAAAUUCAGUAAUUCUUUUGUUCUUUUGUCUUCUUGUUUACAUUCUGUUUCUCAUAGGCACAAAACAAAAAGGAAAAAAGGAAUGAUUUAUAGUAAAAGAACGCAGUUCCUAUAGUCUAGUAAUUUUUUUAACAUUGUAAUUUUAUUAGACAAGUAUUUUCCUUUAUAGGCCUAUUUAAAACAUUUCCAUCCCUUAUACUCUAUGGGGAUGCUUAAGAUUUUUAAUAAUAAUUUUGUGAAAAUUUAAAAAUUGAAAAACUUUUUUUUCUGUCCAAGCCAAUUAAAAACUCACACCUGUCUAACUUUUUUUUAAACCAAUUAAAAACUGACACAUGUUUAAGGGACUCCUAAAAAUCGAUACUUAAAUACAUUUUUCAUUUAUUUUUAAAAUUAUUUUUUCUCAAAAAAUCCCUAUAGUACCAAGAAUGAAGAAAGUUUUAUAUAGUUUUUGUGUCAAUAAUAUGCUGGACUCAAAUUUGGAUGAUGAUAAAAGUUUCUAGAAAAACGGUGCGUUUAUCUCUGAGGGUGAUUUCGAGGGAGAAUAGGGUUUUGCUUUACGUCUCCUUCAAGGAAGGACGCCGCCGCCGUUGAAACUUCCGAUGGAGGAGUCCGAGGCGGAUCAGAUGCUGGGGACUCAGUCUCCGAAUCCAGUUGCAACAGUUCCGGUGAUGUCUUAUGCGAAUAUCGUCCAAUCUAAAAAAACUUUGACAAAGUACGAUUUAGAAAUAUCUACAGCCAACGGUAUCAGUUCAGUCAGGGUUCCGGAAGAAGUAUUUCAGGAUUCCUCGCUGUUGUGGGAAGACUUUGUGGUGGGUCGAUUCUUAGCUACUGCUCCGCAUAUCGCAAAAGUUCAUGCCAUUGUAAACAAAAUCUGGGCUUUGGGAGAUAAGUCACAGAUGAUUGACAUUCAAGUAAUCAACCCUACAACAAUGAAGUUUAGGAUCUCGAAUCCUAUAACAAGAAAUCGGGUGCUGAGGAGAGGAAUGUGGAAUCUUGCAGAAGUUCCAGUAGUUAUGUCGAAAUGGUCUCCAUUCACAGAGGAGAUUCAACCAGAAGUCAAGUCGGUUCCGCUGUGGGUUCAUCUCCGCAACGUACCGAUGGAUAUGUUUUCAUGGAAAGGACUUAGCUUCAUCACAAGUGCUGUUGGUGAACCAGUUCGUCUCCAUCCCGAUACAGCUCAAUGUGUUGAUUUCAAGCUUGCAAAGGUUUUUGUAAAAGCUGAUCUCACUAAGGAGCUACCAAAGAUGAUGAACUUCACAUCACCAAAUGGUUCAGAAUCGAUGGUGGAAUUCACUUACCCAUGGCUUCCGACAAGGUGCUCGGUCUGUCAAAAAUGGGGACACCUAAUUACGGUAUGUUUGGGAACACAAGCUGUAGCAGAAGGAAGUUCAGAAAUUCUCAAAACACCGGUGAAAGAUACCUCUGUAACAGGCGAAGCAAUAACAAUGGUGUCAGAAAAGAGUUCCGAUAAAACAAAUAAAACCACGAUGGAAACCAUUACUGAAAAACCACUAAGUGAGGAAAAGGAAGAGGGAGAAUGGUCAGUGGUCACACCUGGCAAGGCAGGACGUGGCACACCUCAGAAACACAACGAGCUAGAAUACGGACAAGUUUCCAUCUUAUCUAACUCGCGAUUCGCCAUAUUAAGCAAACCUGACCUAGCUGAUAUGGGCGAAGAUGAAGACUCAACAGAAAAGGAGACAGAGACAAACUCAAAUGAUGUAACAGAUGUAAAUUAACCAUUACUUGAGAAUACAGAGCAGAAUGAGGAAACAGAGGCUGUUACACUAGUUCCACAAACAGAGCAAAGUGCACCAAAUCAUACGGAGGGAAGUCAAAAAGGAAGUGAAGCUCAAUUAAGACAACCUUUACACCGUAGCUCCAAGGAAAAUCACAAAUUCCUCUCGGACCCUUCUACACAAAGAGCAAAGGAUGUUAUUCCUAGCACUUUGAAAAAGAAGGCCACCACCAAAAAAGCCAAUUAAUGUUGGGAUUUACAUGGAAUGUACAUGGAUUUAAUAAGUCUACUAAACAUUCUGUUGUGAAGGAUUGGAUGAAGAAGGGUUCAUUUCAGUUCGGGUGUUUGUUGGAAACACGAGUGAAGGAAACUAAAGCUAUGUCAAUUGCAUCUGCAGUUUUCAAAAAUUGGUUUUUUUUUUAUCAAAUUAUGAGCACAAUCGGCUUGGCAGGAUCUGUGUUAUAUGGAGUCCACAAACCCGGGUUACCCCCUACUUUAAAAGCAGUCAGAUGAUCACAUGCUCGAUUUUACUGGAAGGUGCUACGGAUGAGAUCUUCUGUUCAUUUGUCUAUGCUCUAAAUACAGUUAAAAAAUUGUGGGAGGAUAUUAAAAAUCAUCAAGACUCUCCGCUGUUUAGAAAUAGACCGUGGUUGAUAUUGGUGAUUUUAAUGAGAUAUUGAAGGUGGAAGAGCAUUCAGGCUAUAUGGAUUCUCCAACUGCUCCCACAGGUAUGAGAGACUUCCAAGAUAUAGUUCGAUAUUGCUCUCUUGCUGAUCUGAAAACACAUGGACCAUUAUACACAUGGUGUAACAAGAGAGAAGAAGGUCUGAUAUGUAAAAAGCUUGACCGAGUCCUCAUGAACAAUGCAAGGAAAAACUCAUAUCCGCAGUCAUAUUGUUCUUUUGAAUCUGGAGGAUGCUCAGAUCACUUAAGAUGCCGCAUUCAAAUCGACGCAGAAAAGCAGAGGAUCAGACGCCCUUUUAAAUUCACGAAUGCAAUCACUAGCUUGCCAGGAUUUUUGCCUUUGAUGAAGGAUCAUUGGGCGGAAACAGAAGCCAUCUUUAGCUCUACGUCUGCAAUGUUUCGUUUCUCUAAAAAACUGAAGGCUUUGAAGCUGAAGUUACGAGGGUUUAGCUAUGUGAACCAAAAAGGCAUAUGAGGAGCUAUGUGAAGCUCAGAUGACAACAUUAUCAAACCCUGCUCAGGCUACAGUGGACGUGGAUGCCAGAGCUUAUGAGAAAUGGCAACACUUAGCAGAGAUUGAAGAAAAGUAUCUCCGUCAAAAAUCUAAGCUGCAUUGGCUACAGGUUGGAGACGGGAAUAACAGAUAUUUUCAUCAAGCGACAACGCAAAGAGCGAUGAGAAACUCAAUCAGGGAAAUUCAAAGGAUUGAUGGUUCAUUGGCAGUAACUCAAGAGGAAAUAAAGGAGGAGGCUGAACAAUUCUCCCACAAAUUUUUAUCCCAUGAAAUUGUAGAUUACAAUGCAGUUCGGAGGUGGUGUGUUCGUGUCAACUACGUGAGGGAACAAGUUUUACCCUUAACAAAACAAAUGAAAGCCGCAAGUGCACAGCUAAUCAGUUGUAGUAUUUAGGGAUCGAAUCCACAGAGAUUUGUGUGCCUGGUAUUCUUCUUUUUAACUUUAUGUCUAGACUAAAUUGGUUUUAAAGGUUGGUUAUUUUUCUUGCGAAUUAAACUAAAACAAAAGAAAGCAAAUAAAUCUAUCCUAAAAAGCAGGUAAGAAAUCCGAAUGGAAUGCAAUUAGAAUGGGCAAAUAUCGAAUGAAAGACUAAUAAGGCAAGUAAGAUAUCGCAUGAAAGGUAAAUAAAGCAAAUAAAUAAUGAACUAAGGAAAUUGAAAUGCAGGUCUAAGAAAGCAAGUAAAAAUCGAUGGAAUUGUAAACUAUGGCUAAAAACGCUGAGCUUUUGGGAACUCUAAGGGAUCAUAAUCGGUUUUAACACUAAGGUAGAUAGAUUGGGAUUGACAGAUAACGAUAUAUGGGUUCUAGAGCUAGAGUACGGCGGUAUGACUAUGUCACUGUCGUGAUCAUAACCAACUGUUUCUCGCAACCCUGACCAGUAGGUUUCCACUCUGGCCCUGGAAGGGAGAGAACGCAAGAGCUGCACAAGACUCGUCAAUACUCACGAUCUCGCCGCAGGUAGGUUUCCACUCCUACGGAAAAAUUGCCUGUUUCAUUCUAGGGCUGAUACUUAAUGAAAAUUUCGCAACACUAACUAUCUAGAUCAGAUACUAGGUGAUCAAUCAAGCAUACAUGCAAUAAGAACAAGAAUAAACAGAGAACAGGUCGAAAUCCCAGAUCUAUAAACCUAGAUGUCUUAAUCGAUUAUGAGAGCCCCUUUCGAGAACCCUAAGCCCAACUCGGGAUCUACUCAGACAUGGCUGAGUUCGACAUCAUCAUUGGUUUUAAUAAAAGUAAUGAAAAACAGUAAAGAAAAGAGAUAAAGAAAGCUUCUCUAUUGAAGAACUCGGACUUGAACAAUCUUCUACAAAAAUCUCAUAAAAAUGGCUAAAGGAAAAGAGUUUCUAAAAAGUAUGAAGGGUCCUCUCUAAAAGCGACCUAAAUGACAUGUAUUUAUAGUCUCCAAUACUCCAUGGUCUCUAGGGUUCCGGAAUUGAGGCUGAGAAUGACUUUGGGCUUCAGAUAAGUGGGCUUUAACUCGAAGAUUGAUUGCCGCGGUCGGGAGUGUUGUGACCGCGGCAAUUGGCUUGUUGGCCGCGGUCGGGAAGCUUCUGACCGUGGCAAAUAGCUUGUUGGCCGCGGUCGGGUGAGUUGCUGACCGACUUCGAAUGGCUCCGGGGCUAAUGAAAUAUCUUGAGAUCCAAACGUUGGAAUGUCUCCAGACCAAGUGCAUUUGAAAGCUGGUUGAUUCUUCUAUAAGUUGUCCAAUUUUGAGGGUGAUCAGAAGGUGAGAAGGUCUUCGUUUCUCCAUGAGAGUUCUGACGGUCUGCAUUUAUCCAAAAGAGUCUUUUUGUUCCAUUUUGUGCCUCUUUAUCCCAAAUUACCUGAAAAGUCUUUUAAAAUCCGAAAACAUAGAAAUCCUUUGAAAACCUUUGAAAAUGGAGUAAAAACACUUGUAAAAGAUAUUAAAAUGAUCCAUAAAAAUAGUCAACAUCCGGUGUUAUCAACUCCCCCAGACUUAGUCUUUUGUUUGUCCUCAAACAAAACAAAGGCUAAAUCUCGGCGAGAGGUUUGAAAACGCUGGAACUAAACAAAAUCUCAGAGACCAAACUUCUAGACCAAUAUCAAUCAGUAUGCAUCAAUCGGGAAUAGCCUAGAAAAUUCUCACUAGCAAUACAAGCAUAACUAGUCCGUUAAUCCGUCAUGCAGAAAUCUAUGCACUAAGAUCUAACUUCCAGUCAACUAGCUCUUAACAUUCAUUUAAAAUCUCGGUGAUUUUCAUCAAAGAAAAUCUAGGCAAGGCAAUCUAGGCUAGGUGUCAAGAAGGAUAAUUCUGGGGGGUAAGGCUUAAAGUGUUUACGGGUUACCUGAAGAUUUGGAGGAUGCAAGAUAUUAUGCAAAACCGCAAGAGAGAGUGAAGCUGUUGGUAUCCACAGUUUUCAGUCACUUUCUUCUUGACAUAAAUUCAUGGUCUUCUUGCUCAGGUUCUCUCCAAACUCCCCCAGACUUAGAUUUUUGUAAAUCUUUAAAAACAAUAUCUCCUUAAACGAAUAGUGGUUGCUCAUUGCUCCACAAAUUUCGACAAUCUAAGACUCAUUAGGCUUUUUGUUUCCUUUUCUCUUUUCACGUUUUUUUUUCUUUUUUUUUCUUUUUUUGUUUUAAGAAAGGGAACAUCUUUAGAUAUAGAGUCUUAGAGAGCACGAAUUUACCAGUUAAUAUCUGUCUUGUAAAGCUUUAUUAUGUUUCUGAUACUCUUCCUUCCCAAUUCCAUUAAGUCUCCUUUGUGAGUGACUGAAAACUGCGUCGCUCCUCUUCUCUCCGACGUUUUUGCACAUAUCUGCUGAUAUAAACUAAAGAGAGAAUGCAUGAGGAUUGAAACCAAGGGUUUUGGGUUUAGGGUAUGGUACCAGAUAAAGAUAAAGUGGUCAUCUGAACGACAAAUAGUGGUAAAAGUGAUGGUAAAAGACGUCCUAGAUGUGUAUGUCGAUGCCUGCCUAAAAUCAAUGAUGAGAAAAUUAGAUAUCAAUAUUAAGUCAAAAUAAAAUGAGCUAGUAUAUCUUGUCAGAAAGAAUCUCCAUGAAUAGAAGUCCUCUGGUGGGAGUUCGUAGUGCAAGUACUCUAGCUACCGCCUAGUCUAGUGCUAACCACAAAUGAGCUAUCAUGCAUAGUGUAGAAGUGUGCAGGUCUAAAUCAUCAUAGUUUUGCGUCAAACAUUCCUGAAAAAUACUUAAUGUCGAAUAGGUUACAUAUUAAAAUUUUAAAAGUACUUGAAAUUUAAAAGCAAAGCAGGGAAAUGAUUAGUACGGAUAGACAUCCUCCCGCAGACUUAAAUCACACUGUCUCCAGUGUGAAAAAGUUGGUGAGAAGAUGGUAAAUAAAAGCAAAAUAAAAUAAAAUAAGAUAAAAGAAAAGAUAAUGAUGAUAGAACCGUGAUGGUAGUGAAGUGCUGAUCAAUCACUCAUCCUCCGAAGUGUCGUCUGCGAAAUGGUGUUGCUCCUGUAAGAAGGUGAUAACGCGCUCAAAGCGUCGUCCCUGUCUCUCAACUCUGCGCUCCAGAUUGGAAUGAGUGUGUGAUGAUGUAGAUGAUGAGGUGUGGCCAGUCGAAAUAGAUGGCUGAAAAUGAGCACGGGCCGCAGCUGCAUCACGCUUCGCCUUGGCUACUAUGUAUUGGCCAAUGGUGAAUGGUAGACGAGGUACAGAUGGCAGAAAAUCAUCGGAUACUGGAGUCCAUCGUGGGCGUCCUCCGUUGCAAAAUCUCGGGAUAGAUGCUGAAGGUAAGCGGACUCGGUGCUCCUCGGUGCCAGUGCAAUACUUGUAACCAAAUCUGUCUGGAUCGAAAGCGGCACGAGAGAUAGUGUGAUCGCGAGAGAGAUAAAGUAGAUCAUACCAGACAUCGAGAAGUGGCUCGUCAGAUGAGAAAUCGAAUCCUACAGCCUGUAGUAUCGCUGUAAUAGCACUCCCGAAAGCUGGAGUAGCGUCCUCGCAACCAUGUAAAUCAUGCUUCACCUUUACCAUAUUCUGCGCUAUGAUCCAUGCAAAGCAAGCAAGUCGUGGGUCGUCCAUAAACGGAAUCUGAAGUGUAAUGAGCUCAGUCUUCAAAACACCUCCCAUGUUUGCUCUAGAGAAGAUCGUGUGUGCUAAGAGUUUGUGCACAACUCGCACUGCUGGGUGGCUAAGAAGGGCUGACUUCGAUCUCCCACUAUCAUAGGUUCCAUGACCCAUCUCUCUCCACAGGUUAAGAUCAGGUUCAUCUUCAAGGUAAAUGCCAUCAGUGUAUGGAAGCUUAAGAGCUUCACAAACCUCGGAAAUGGUGAGUGAAUAAGGCUGUCCGCGGAUAGAGAAUGACAAGAUGUCAUCUGAUGCUCUGGGGUUCCUCCUUUUCGUGUGGUGGAGUGUAAUAGUCGCUAAAAGCUCACGGACUAGCUCAGGAUAAGUCGGAAGGUUCAGCUCCAUGUAGGGUCUCAGCUUAAGUGCAUCGAUGUACCAGAUCACAUCCUCUCUGAUUCCAAGCAUCUCGAGUGUAUGAUAAUCAAUGCAAGGCGUGGGUUUGAUGUUCAGCUUCUUGAAACGCCUUGCAUAGUCCACUCUCGGGUUUGUCUCCCUCCCAAUGUAUCGAAUCUGUGGUGGCUCGGGAGCUGCUCGUGUUUCUCUUGUGUGCUGGAGCAAUCUCAUCACAUAGCUUCUUCUUCUCGGUCUGGCUUGGUUCAGCAUGUACUCUCCUAGAGUAGCAUAAUCGGGAAUGUCCUCAGAGCUGUCACCAUUGCGACGGCUUCUUCGGGAUCUGGUUUGUUCCAUUUUUCUGCAAAACGAAAUGGUUCUCGGAAAAAGAAUGAAUUUGGAUGCUGAUUUUAACACAUUAAGAUCUGUUAUACUAAUACUAGCAUAAAGAGAUUAAUUAAAACCAUGAGCAAACAAAAUUGAUUUUAAAUCAGAGAAAUCAAGUAGUUCAUGACCAGAUUCGGAUUUUUGAUGUUCUCAACAUAGAAAUCUUCUAAAAAUCGGUUUUUAUGAGCAAUUUCCAUGUAAAUUCUAAAGAUUACCCAAUACUAAUCACUAAUCACACAAGACUUAAUCAAACUCGUCAAUUUUGCUGUUCCAAAUUCUAUUUUUAUGAAGCAUGUAGAAUCCAAAUUUCAAAAAAUCUCAAUUUCUCUUAAGUUAGGUGUUAAAAUCGAUUUUUAGAUAACCUAGAUGGAUAAUCUAUCAUUCUUAAGCUAUUUCCACCACCAAUAAACAGAGAUUUGAGCUUUUUUAAAAAACCCUAAGUUCUGAAAUCAAUUAAAAAUGGCGAGUUUGAGGUUCAUACCUUGCUGGAAAGAGAGAUUUGAUUGCAGAAUUGGAAUCAGUUUUGAAAAAAAGUGAGGUUUUAGACAAAAAUCUUUUAAAAAGCUUAAGAAUUGAAAAAUGUGUUCUAUCUCCUAAAUCUCCAAAUCUUUUAGAAGAGAAGGGAAGAAGGAGUUUUGAUCCAAAAAGUUUGUUUCUUUUCUUUAAAAAGCGUUUUUGUAGCAAAAACGGAAAAUUUCUAGAAAUUUUUAAGUUUACGGGAACUUACAUUUCUUGUUUGCACCUUAGGAAAGUUUAAAACUUACGGAGGAUCUUUUCGGGUUUUACCGGGAACAUUUCGGGAAGCACCGGGAAUCACCGGGAAUCACCAGGUAACACCAGGCAACACCAGGCAAACACCAGGCAAAUACCAGGCAACACCGGGAAAACACCAGGCAACACCGGGAAAUCACCAGGAAACACCGGGAAAUCACCAGGUAAACACCAGGAAACACCGGGAAAUCACCAGGCAACACCGGGAAUCGGCAGAAAUCUGCGGCGUCACCUCAACGACCAACGGCCGCGGUCAGGAGAUGCGCGACCGCGGUGAUCGAGGGCUCGGCCGCGGUCAUAUUCACGGUGCCGCGGUCGAUGCACCCUUGGCCGCGGGUCGAACGGUCGCGACCGCGGCUCUUCCUCCUGCGGCCUAUUGUCCAAUCUUCUCGUUUUUGCCGGGCCGAGCACCUGAAAACCUACUUUUUCUUCUUGGUUUUUCUAAUUUUCUGAUUUUUUUUUUGUUUUUGUUUUAUAACAUACCUAAAACUUAAAAAGAAAAAGAAAGCAUAAUUUGUAAAAAGGAAAAGAAAACUAAAAGAAAGAGUACCUAAAUGGGUUGCCUCCCAUAAGCGCUUUUGUUUUAAGUCGUUUAGUUCGACGUAAGCAUGAGGAAUCAGGCUGAUUUGAAUGGCACUCCACUUGAUGUGCCUUUAUCACUUCCGGUUGCUGGAGGUUUUACUUCUUCUCCUUGAGGAGAAGUCUUCUUACCUUUACUCUUCUUUCGGACUUUAAUGUUGUUCAGAACCCUUUUUGUGUUUUCGAUCAGCUCCUGGAUUUGGUCCUCACUAGUUUCUGUUGCAUCUGGUGGAAUGAUGAUCUUGAUCUUUGCAAAAGCUUUCGGCUUCUCCUUUUCUUUCUCUUUUGGCCUGUUUCCUUUACUUGGAAAUUCAUCUAAAACAGCAUGCCGGUUUGCGUGAUCGAUUACUGCUCCUACUGUAGCUAGGAAUGGUCUUCCAAAAAUGAGUGGCUUCUCCUUGUCUUUAUCCAUCUCCAGGACUUGGAAAUCUGCUGGAACAAUCUUAUCUCGCACUAGAACUUGUAGAUCAUGAAUCGCCCCUUUAGUAUCUUUUUGAGAUGAAUCUCCAAAGAUAACCUUAACCGUCGAUGUCCUUAAGGUUUUUAUGCCCAAUUGUUCGGCAAAUAUCUUAGACAUGAUGUUGACAUUGGCUCCGGAAUCGCACAAGCAGUCUGUAAACUUGAUUCCUGAAAUGAAACAUUGGAAAACAAAACGUCCCGGAUCAUCGGCUUUGGUAAGCCUUUGAAACGGUGAUCGUUCAGGUACCUUAAACGGUGGCUGCUUGGGAUCGAUAUCCUUGUACAGUGGUACAAAGAUGGGGGUUUCUUCUUUCUUCCAUUGGUUCCGGCCUCUUCUUCGGGCAAUGUGGUUAUGGCGUUGCAAAACUUCUUAGGGUUAUCUUCAACUCUUCCUGGAAGAACUCCACUUUGCCUCUUCAUAGAGUCGGCUGUUUGGGCGACUUGCACAUCUAACUUUUUUACGUGCGAAGAUAAAGAUUCAAACUUACCAUUCAGAUCAUUGUACAUGCAGUCCACUUUCACGUUCACGUCUUUAGAUGCUUUUUUGUUCGUCAUAACGAGCUGUUGGAUUGACUGUUCAAGUCUACCGAUUUGUGAAGCUAGCUGGGUCGUCGUGACUCCCUGCUGUUGUACAAAUUGAUUGUUAAAACCCGUACCUUGGUAGUUAUAUGGCUGUCGCGGUUGAUAUGGUACUAUUCCUCCAAAGUUUCCACCUUGAAACUUGUUUUGGAAGGAUUUUUGCUGAGGUGGGUAGUACUGAUCUUGAGGAUUCUCCACAUUUGGAUUGCGGUAAGAGAGAUUGUUGUAAUUUGCAUUCUGAAGGUUGUUGAAGUUGUUGUUGGAGCGAUUUUGGUAUGGCACCAGUGCUCCUACGUAGUUCACAUCUUCUUCUUGAAAUGCUUGAUUAAUGUGAUCGAUAUCACUAGGUCCUUCAUCUUCUGCGCCAUUGUUGGUUUCACAGGCAUGGAUCGGGCGAUUGUUGCUCUUCAGAAGCUGGCUCACCAUGUUCUUCAACUCGGUUAUCUCCUUAUUGUCUGUUCCGGCUUGCUUCAUCGAUCGAUCGUAUUCAGGACAGUCAUUGCUAUUGGCUUGAGCCAAAUUUUCGAUGAAGCUCUUCCUUGGGUUAUCGUCUUUUGCCCAAAAUCUCCAUUGCUAGCUGUAUCAAGUGAAAGUUUGUAUUUUGGUUGCAAACCUCGGUAAAAUGUGCUCAGCAGGCUUGAUCCAUGAAAUCCAUUGUGAGGGCAGUCACGUUCAUAUUCCUUAAAACGUUCCCAAGCUUCAUAGAAAGAUUCAGUUGGCCCUUGUUGAAAUGUUGAGAUCUUCGUUCUCAAAUUGUUCGACCUUGACUUAGUGUAGAAGUGGUUUAGGAAAGCAGUUCUACAUUCUUCCCAAUUGGUAAUCGAUCCUGCAGGCAAAGACUUCAACCAACGGUGAGCUUUAUCUGAUAGUGAAAAAGGGAACAACUUACACUUUAUAUAGUCAGGUGGAACUUGGUUUGUUCUCAUCAUGCUGCAAAUUUCUUCAAAAAGCUCGAUAUGGUCCAUUGGGUGCUCAGAAGGAACUCCAUGGAACUGGUUUUGCUUCACCAAUGAGAUGAUUUGAGGCUUGACUUCAAACUCAUUCCGGUUUGGAAAUGGUACUUGAAUCGCAGAUCGAUUCUGAAAAUUUUGAGUAAGUGCAUCAAAAUCAGCUAUGCGAUGGUUCCUGGCUUGUCUUCGGUGUUGAUUUGCUGGCGGAAUGGGGCGGUGAAUGCGUUCAUUCGGCUGCAUUUCUGGGUGGUCACCAUCGGCUGCAUUGAUGGGUGGAUCAAGGUCUUCACGUCCUUCUCUCUCUCGGUUCUGGUGGUUUCUUGGAGGAACCUCAUCCUCCUCUCCAUCUUGUCGAGCAUGAUCACCUCCUCUGUGAUCAUUCUCUUCAUUUCCUCCAUGUUCGGACCCAUCUUGGUCCAUAUUUAAAGUUCGAUUAAUAGGAUCUCCAGGCUGGUCAUCGUUGGCCAUUCCUUGCGUUCGUCUAAGUCUUCGAAGUUCUUUUUCGUGUCUGUCUAUCUCGUCUAGAAUUGGAAUGUUUUAUACAGGUCUGCGCCUGGUAUUCAUGCAAUUCAGAGAAAAACAAAAGAAGGGAAAGAUAAUUCAGCAAAACUUUAAGAAAGAACUAGAGAUCAAGUGUCCAGAACAGAAGUUAAAACAAGAAAAAUAGCAAAAGGCAGCGAAACAAAUCCCCGGCAACGGCGCCAAAAACUUGGUGUGUUCGUAUCUACUACGUGAGGGAACAAGUUUUACCCUUAACAAAAGAAAUGAAAGCCGCAAGUGAACAGCUAAUCAGUUAUAGUAUUUAGGGAUCGAAUCCACAGAGAUUUGUGUGCCUGGUAUUCUUCUUUUUAACUUUAUGUCUAGACUAAAUUGGUUUUAAAGGUUGGUUGUUUUUCUUGCGAAUUAAACUAAAACAAAAGAAAGCAAAUAAAUCUAUCCUAAAAAGCAGGUAAGAAAAUCGAAUGGAAUGCAAUUAGAAUGGGCAAAUAUCGAAUGAAAGACUAAUAAGGCAAGUAAGAUAUCACAUGAAAGGUAAAUAAAGCAAGUAAAUAAUGAACUAAGGAAAUUGAAAUGCAGGUCUAAGAAAGCAAGUAAAAAUCGAUGGAAUUGUAAACUAUGGCUAAAAACGCUGAGCUUUUGGGAACUCUAAGGGAUCAUAAUCGCUUUUAACACUAAGGUAGAUAGAUUGGGAUUGACAGAUAACGAUAUAUGGGUUCUAGAGCUAGAGUACGGCGGUAUGACUACGUCACUGUCGUGAUCAUAACCAACUGUUUCUCGCAACCCUGACCAGUAGGUUUCCACUCUGGCCCUGGAAGGGAGAGAACGCAAGAGCUGCACAAGACUCGUCAAUACUCACGAUCUCGCCGCAGGUAGGUUUCCACUCCUACGGAAAAAUCGCCUGUUUCAUUCUAGGGCUGAUAAUUAAUGAAAACUUUCGCAACACUAACUAUCUAGAUCAGAUACUAGGUGAUCAAUCAAGCAUACAUGCAAUAAGAACAAGAAUAAACAGAGAACAGGUCGAUCUAUAAACCUAGAUGUCUUAAUCGAUUAUGAGAGCCCCUUUCGGGAACCCUAAGCCCAACUCGGGAUCUACUCAGACAUGGCUGAGUUCGACAUCAUCAUUGGUUUUAAUAAAAGUAAUGAAAAACAGUAAAGAAAAGAGUAAAGAAAGCUUCUCUAUUGAAGAACUCGGACUUGAACAAUCUUCUACAAAAUCUCAUAAAAAUGGCUAAAGGAAAAGGGUUUCUGUAAAGUAUGAAGGGUCCUCUCUAAAACGACCUAAAUGACAUGUAUUUAUAGUCUCCAAUACUCCAUGGUCUCUAGGAUUCCAGAAUUGAGGCUGAGAAUGACUUUGGGCUUCAAAUAAGUGGGCUUUAACUCGGAGAUUGAUUGUCGCGGUCGGGAGUGUUGUGACCGCGGCAAUUGGCUUGUUGGCCGCGGUCGGGAAGCUUCUGACCGCGGCAAAUAGCUUGUUGGCCGCGGUCGGGUGAGUUGCUGACCGACUUCGAAUGGCUCCGGGGCUAAUGAAAUAUCUUGAGAUCCAACCGUUGGAAUGUCUCCAGACCAAGUGCAUUUGAAAGCUGGUUGAUUCUUCUAUAAGUUGUCCAAUUUUGAGGGUGAUCAGACGGUGAGAAGGUCUUCGUCUCUCCAUGAGAGUUCUGACGGUCUGCAUUUAUCCAAAAGAGUCUUUUUGUUCCAUUUUGUGCCUCUUUAUCCCAAAUUACCUGAACAGUCUUUUAAAAUCCGGAAACAUAGAAAUACUUUGAAAACCUUUGAAAAUGAAGUAAAAAUACCUGUAAAAAUAUUAAAAUGAUCCAUAAAAAUGGUCAAAAUCCGGUGUUAUCAGGAGGAUUACCUACGGGAUUUGUUGGGAUAUGAAUGCAGUGAGGUGGAAGGCGAGAUGCUGAGCAGAGGAGUAACUGAGGAAGAAAUUAAAUCGGUUUUGUUUGCAAUGCCAGGAAACAAGGCACCUGGUCCUGAUGGAUACACAUGUGAGUUCUUUAGGGAAGCAUGUCCUGUUCUCGGCAAGGAAUUUGUCAUCGCAGUGCAAUCUUUUUUCGACAAAGGGUUUUUACCCAAAGGGAUUAAUUCCACCAUUUUGGCACUAAUCCCCAAGAAAACAGACUCUAAGAUGAUGAAAGACUACAGGCCCAUUUAAUGCUGCAAUGUCAUAUACAAGGUCAUAUCUAAGCUACUUGCAAACCGACUAAAAACUCUGCUCCCAAAGUUCAUUGCACCGAACCAAUCGGCAUUUAUAAAAGACCGGUUUCUCAUGGAAAAUGUCCUCCUUGCAUCCGAACUAGUGAAGAACUAUCACAAGACAACCAUCUCUGCGCGCUGUGCUUUGAAAAUAGACAUCUCCAAGGCAUUUGAUACUGUACAAUGGCCUUUUCUGAUCUCCACUCUCACUGCUCUGAACAUUCCACAAAAGUUCAUACAUUGGAUUAAACUUUAUGUAACAUCAGCAUCUUUCUCAGUUCAAGUGAAUGGAGAGCUUGCCGGGUAUUUCCAAAGCAAAAGGGGUUUACGUCAGGGUUGUUCUCUUUCGUCUUAUCUUUUUGUGAUCAAUAUGAACAUUCUAUCAAAGAUGUUGGAUAAAGCUGCUUCAAAUCGUCGGUUUGGUUAUCAUCCCUCAUGUCAGACGCUCAAACUAACACAUCUAUGUUUUGCAGAUGAUAUGUUAGUUUUUGCAGAUGGCAGGAAAAACUCAAUCGAAGGCAUUCUUGGAGUCUUUAGAGAGUUUGCAGAAUUCUCGGGUUUGAACAUCAGUUUAGAGAAGUCAACGCUUUACAUAGCAGGUGUAUCGGGAACAACCCUGGACUCGAUCCUAGCUCAGUUCCCUUUCG